rnacentral:lncRNA from 1 species
UACCCAACAUCACAACCCAUGGGAGUUUACUCAACACUAUGGGAAGCCGAUGAUUGGGCGACACGUGGAGGAUUAGAGAAAAUUGAUUGGAGCAAAGCUCCUUUUUAUGCUUAUUACAAAGAUUUCGACAUCGAAGGCUGUCCUGUUCCUGGACCCACCAAUUGUCCAUCGAACCCUCACAAUUGGUGGGAAGGCUACGCUUAUCAGUCACUUAACGCCGUGGAAGCUCGACGUUACCGUUGGGUUAGAGUAAACCAUAUGGUAUAUGAUUAUUGUACCGACAAGUCAAGGUAUCCUGUCCCACCAGUCGAGUGUCAUGCUUGAAAUAAUACCAUGUACAAGACGUACGUACAAUGAUCAUGUUUCUUCUUGUACGUAUAUAUAAUUGCGAGAAAAUUUGGAUUGUAAUGUCUUUUUAUGCAAUUGUGCACAUACGCAAGUACGUGGUGUGCAUAAAUAUAAUGGUUAAUGUAUGUGGUUAUUUGAAAUAUAAAAUGUUAUAUUAUGCAAUGUUUUGAAAACAACUUUACGUACGUAUAUUUUAGUGUUUUGCCCUUGGAGUCGCAAAGAGCAUCUCUAAUCCAACUUCGAAUCCUCAAAUUUUGAAAUUUUGUGUCAUUCCAACCCAAACUCAAAUCUUCAAAUUUUGAGGUUAUGAAUAAUGAAACUUCAAUCACAACCUCAAAACUAUUUAAUAUUUUUUUUUGGUCUUUAUAGUUAUUUUUUUCAUAAAUAUUAGUAACUUUUGUUAAUAUCAAGGAUUAUAAUGCAAAUAAAUAAACUUUUAAAGAUUUUUUUAAGAAUUCAUGGUUGUAGUAACCAACCCUUAAAUUCUCAUUUUGAAAUUUUACUCCUCUUAAAAUAAGGUCUCGGGUCGGAGAUGCCCUACAGUUUACCAUAUGUUUUUGAUAAACCACUAAAAAAUCACGAACACAAGAACAUGAAUGAAUAAACCAUGUUUAAAUGUCACAAUGAUUUGUUGCACAAGACAAUAUAUAUAAUUGGUUUGGCCAUAUGGUCCCAGUUCCAACAAAGGCGUCAGAUUUGCAUUAAACCUUAAGAAGAAAAUGUCUAAUCAAGUUCAGAACUUGUUGAAAUAAUGUGUAGCUCAUAGAGAAAUGCCAAGAAAACCAUUCAAAAUUAAUGGGAAUUUGAUUCCAUAUCUAAUAUUUCAACUUUCUGACCGAACUAGUUCUCACUUGUUUUCUAACAAGCAGUACUAUGAAGUUCAAUCACAUACCAUAUCUACUAAUUUGAUUUUUUUUUUUCGGUGUAAUUUGUAUGUGGUCAAAGAUAAACUUACGUUAUACAAACCACUAUUAAUCUUUUAUUUAUGGGUUUUGACUGGUUUGGAAAGGAUUAGCGGUUUCUUCUGAGUUCUCAAGGCACCGACAGUACAACAACAGCUGGAGAAGGCUUGUGGCCAUGGAGAAAAAGGCAAGUAAAAUAGUUAUUGCUUGAAGAAACUCACACACUGAUGGUGAUUGAUAGAUCAGCACUGGAAUUGAGUGGUCAGAAGGAAAAAAAAUGAGGGUACAUUCACAUUUCUUAUUGGAAAAGCUACAUGAGUUCUAUCUUAAAACAGUACAUAAUGAGAACAGUGAAAAAGGGAGUUUUGUCCUCACUGCUCAUCACUCAUUGUACCAACUCUCACUUUAUAGCAUGUUUCAUUAGAGCAUUCAGAAUUGGGACUAUGAGGAUGAUUUAUCUAAUCUAUUUUGUUCAUGUUGUUGAUUUUGACUGCGACCGGGUCUGAACAGUAAGGGCAGUUCCCAAAUAGAACAUCAAAUGACCUACAAGAAAUCGAAAUCAUAUACGAGCUUCAGAGUAUAAGACUUGUGUCUGUGUGUGUGUGAGAGGGUUUAUACUUACUGUCUUGUUGUUGUGAUAGACCUUAACCAGUCGGUGAGGCAAAUGCUAUGGAAAGACUUGUUGCAACUGAUGUUCUCGCAUGUGUAGUCUGUUCGCGUCCCACUUCUAGCUCCGAGCUCCUCAUCUUUUGUUUAAAGUAAAUGAGAAGUCAGUGAACUGUCAGCAAAUGAUUACUAUAAAGGUUCAAGGAAUCACCGGUUGGUAGAAACUGGGCAUAGCAAAUCCCGCAUUCAACUUGCUGAGGAUCAUCUUCCACCUGGAGACCUAGAGGCUUUGGAAGCUCAGUAGCUAGAAUACAUUCGAGGUUCUCAGGGAAUGAUUUUUCCUUUGACCUGUGUGAUGUCAAUUAGCUGUGACUCAUGCUUUCAAUAAUCCAUAAAGUUCAGUUUUACCAUGCUAUAAGCGAUCGAGAGAAAAGACGGGGGGAGAGAAUAGACAAAAAGGUUUACCAUUUUUUGCUAUUUCUUCUCCAUAGCAUAUGCAAGUUGUUCACAGCUAUAGGCUCAGUACCAACAAAACGGCACCUGUCUAAGUAAGUAACACACACUAUUGAAUAAUGUUCAAAGAAAAGAGGUUAAUGUGACUGUGUGUUGGCUUAGAGUCACAUACUCUGGUAAGGAUUUAGGGUCGUUGAAGUUGAUAUGAGCAAUGAUAUUGCAAUCCUUCCCUGAAAACAUCGAAUCAAUUACAUAAAAUAAAAGUAGUAUUUUUUUUUGCUAUAACAGAGAAGUAAAGAGUAAAGGUAUUAUUAUUAAACCAGCACGAAUCCGACGGAUAGGAGAAGCACGAGAUGGCUGCUUAGCAUCAACAACACAAAGAGACUUGUCGAUAUCGUCCAUGACAGACCAAAAUUCUUGAAGGCUGUCCAGAUGCUAUUAGCAAUAGCAAAAAAUGGAAAAACUAAGAUCAUGUGUGUUUGCUGAUUAGGGAUAACUAAGAGAUAAUGUUGUACCUUUUGGAACUGGUGCAUCACAUCCUUCAGGCUUGAUGUCGUUGACCAUUCUAAAGUAAACAUGUAUGGAACAUCCUAAAGAGAGAGACACACACACACACACACUAAAGAGAGUAUCUGGAAACGUUCACACAAAAGGGAAACAAGAAAAAAAAAACAAACCGAGGAAAGGGAAGGUGGGGAUUUAGGAUAGUCUCUAUGGAGUUGAAGUUCUAAGAUGUGUGCUCUUCCCUUCUUAUCUCUGUACAUUUUCACAAUUCAACAAAGCUAGAAUUGGUUAACGAUUAUAAUAGCCAAUGUAAUGCACUAGACUAAUCACAUCACCAACAACUUACAGAAUGUGAAAGCUGAAAAACGUUAAAUCUCCACCUAGCCUCCUUAGUGAUUCCCAUCCAACAUCCUCUAUCUAAAAAACCGAUACUACAAUCGUUCAUCAUCACCCCAGAAACCGAGUUUGCGAGCAAUCAAAAGGCCCAUUGAUGAACAAUGACUCACCUCCGAGUAAACUUUCCGGUAGAAGGAAGAAGAUUUCGCUAGUUCCUCGCAUCUCGCGCGUUCUAUUGAUUCCUUCAUCAUCAUCAACCUCGAAUUCGUAAACCAAGGCACUCACUCAUCUUCAAGCUCCGUAACUUCUGCAAUUGUUUAGAAAAGCUUCAGUGUUCUUUAGUGGUAACGAAUUCGAAUAUAACGAGUGUGGGCCGAUAAGCCCACUAUAUGAUAAUAUUACUAAAGGCCCAGUUUAUCUCUCUCGAGUCUUCGAGUAUUAUUGUAUUAAUCGUGCUGAUGAUAUACUUAUCCUUGUAACCAAACGGGGAUAAUUUAAAGCGGUGCAGUUUCUUUACUUUUCUCUUUCUUUCUCUGUCACUUCAGUGAAGAAGGCUCCUCCAUCUUUUUGAUCCAGGAGGUUCGUUUUCCCCUUAAUUUUGCUUAAUUUCGUAAUUUUUAUGUUUAUACUCUCUCACAAACUGAAAUUUGUUAAGCCGAUCUGUAAUUUUCGGGGUUUCUAAUUUUAUUUCAUGAUCUGAAUGGGUCAGAUCGCUGAUAAAAUAUCGAAAUAAUAGGUUGUUUUCGCUUCAGAUUUCUAAACUUUGUGUGUGUGCUUUGCAUGAGAUAUAUUAUAAUAGGUUACUCUUAUCUACUUUGUUUCUUUUUUUUUUUUGAAUAUUUUAAUUGAAUUAUUUAAUGGAUCAUUUUCAGGGUUUGUAGAUUCGAUUAAAGCUAUGGUUUGGUUUAGAACUGGCUCUUCUCUGGCAAAGCUUGCCAUACGAAGAACACUCUCUCAGUCUAGGGUUCUACCUUCUUCACACGCGAGAUGUUUCCACUCUACAUCACUCAAAUCAAACGCCGCGCCCGUCCCCCGCCCCGUCCCUCUCUCCAAGCUCACCGACAGCUUCCUAGACGGAACCAGCAGCGUGUACCUCGAGGAGCUGCAGAGAGCUUGGGAAGCCGAUCCCAACAGCGUCGACGAGUCCUGGGACAACUUCUUCAGAAACUUCGUGGGCCAAGCCGCCACUUCCCCUGGGAUCUCGGGGCAGACCAUUCAAGAAAGCAUGCGUCUGCUCCUCCUCGUCAGAGCUUACCAGGUCAACGGCCACAUGAAGGCCAAGCUUGACCCUCUGGGUCUAGAAGAACGAGAGAUCCCCGAGGAUCUAACGCCUGGUCUCUACGGAUUCUCCGAGGCUGAUCUUGACAGAGAGUUCUUCCUCGGUGUGUGGAGGAUGUCUGGGUUUCUCUCCGAGAACCGUCCCGUUCAGACGCUGAGAGCUAUACUCUCGAGGCUCGAGCAGGCGUACUGUGGAACCAUUGGGUAUGAGUACAUGCACAUUGCGGAUAGGGAUAAAUGUAACUGGCUGAGAGACAAGAUCGAGACGCCGACGCCUCGGCAGUAUAAUAGCGAGCGCCGCGUGGUGAUUUACGAUAGGCUGACGUGGAGCACGCAGUUUGAGAACUUCUUGGCGACUAAGUGGACCACGGCCAAGAGGUUUGGACUCGAGGGCGCUGAGUCUUUGAUCCCUGGGAUGAAGGAGAUGUUCGACAGGGCCGCGGAUCUUGGAGUUGAGAACAUUGUUAUCGGUAUGCCUCACAGGGGUCGGCUUAAUGUUUUGGGUAACGUUGUUAGGAAGCCUCUGCGUCAGAUCUUCAGCGAGUUCAGCGGUGGGACUAGGCCGGUGGAUGAAGUUGGGCUCUACACCGGAACGGGGGAUGUGAAGUACCACUUGGGCACGUCUUAUGAUCGCCCGACUAGAGGAGGGAAACAUCUUCACUUGUCUUUGUUGGCGAACCCCAGUCACUUGGAAGCGGUGGAUCCUGUCGUGAUGGGUAAAACCAGAGCGAAGCAGUAUUACACCAAAGACGAGAGCAGGACAAAGAACAUGGGUAUUUUGAUCCAUGGGGAUGGUAGCUUUGCCGGGCAAGGUGUGGUGUAUGAGACUCUGCAUCUUAGCGCGCUUCCUAACUACUGCACCGGUGGGACAGUGCACAUUGUGGUGAAUAACCAAGUGGCUUUCACAACCGAUCCAAGGGCGGGAAGGUCUUCACAGUAUUGCACUGAUGUCGCCAAGGCUUUAGAUGCUCCGAUUUUUCACGUCAAUGCGGAUGAUAUUGAAGCGGUGGUGCAUGUUUGUGAGCUUGCUGCGGAGUGGCGCCAGACGUUCCAUUCUGAUGUUGUUGUUGAUUUGGUGUGCUACCGUCGCUUUGGGCAUAACGAGAUAGAUGAACCGUCGUUCACACAACCAAAGAUGUACAAGGUCUGGCUGUUUUAUUGUCCAUUUCUUGAUUUUUUAUAUAUUUUGUUUCAUUUUAAUUUCUUUUUUAACGGAUGUUUUAAUUGUUGUUGAUAGGUGAUACGCAGUCAUCCCUCGUCGCUUCAAAUCUACCAAGAGAAGCUUGUGGAAUCUGGACAGGUAACGAAAGAAGAUAUUGAUAAGAUUCAAAAGAAAGUAAGCUCUAUCCUCAAUGAAGAAUUUGAGGCAAGUAAAGAGUAUAUUCCACAAAAACGUGAUUGGCUGGCAAGUCAUUGGACUGGGUUCAAGUCACCGGAGCAGAUUUCUAGGAUCCGUAACACUGGGUACAAACUUUUUAAUUUUAUUUGCUUUUGGCCUUUUUCAUAUGUAAUGUUUUGCUGUGAAACUAUUCCUUGUUAUGUUGCAGUGUAAAGCCAGAGAUUUUGAAGAACGUGGGGAAAGCAAUCUCAACCUUUCCAGAGAACUUCAAGCCACACAGAGGAGUGAAAAGAGUUUAUGAGCAACGUGCUCAGAUGAUCGAGUCAGGAGAAGGCAUUGACUGGGGACUUGGAGAAGCUCUUGCUUUCGCUACACUAGUUGUGGAAGGUAACCAUGUUCGGCUAAGUGGUCAAGAUGUUGAAAGAGGGACUUUCAGUCAUAGGCACUCCGUGCUUCAUGAUCAAGAAACCGGCAAGGAGUAUUGUCCCUUAGACCACCUGACCAUGAACCAGGACCCUGAAAUGUUCACUGUCAGCAACAGGUAACGUUUUCUGAAUCUCAUGAGAUAAUUACCAGCUUCCAAUUGUUUUUACAUGAUCCUUUUUUUUUUUUGUCAUGCAGCUCUCUUUCAGAGUUUGGUGUUCUGGGAUUCGAACUUGGUUACUCGAUGGAGAACCCGAAUUCUCUGGUAAUAUGGGAGGCUCAGUUUGGAGACUUUGCCAAUGGCGCACAAGUGAUGUUUGAUCAGUUCAUAAGCAGUGGAGAAGCCAAAUGGCUCCGUCAAACCGGGCUAGUAGUUCUACUUCCUCAUGGAUAUGAUGGUCAGGGUCCUGAACAUUCCAGUGGAAGAUUAGAACGUUUCCUUCAGGUACUAUAACCAACGAAUUUAUCACCAGAUACUUAAACAUUAUGCUUCUCUUCACUAACCAGUCCUUACUGCAGAUGAGUGAUGACAAUCCUUUUGUCAUCCCUGAGAUGGAUCCAACUCUUAGAAAGCAGAUUCAAGAGUGUAAUUGGCAAAUUGUUAAUGUUACUACACCUGCCAACUACUUCCAUGUCCUGCGUCGCCAGGUCAAAGAUUGUUUUAUGAAAGAUUGCUACUCUCUACUUGUUUGUUUUUUCACACGCUUGAUGUCAUCCAUUUGCAGAUACACAGGGAUUUCCGCAAGCCUCUUAUAGUGAUGGCUCCCAAAAACUUGCUUCGGCACAAGAAGUGUGUAUCUAACCUCUCGGAGUUCGAUGAUGUUAAAGGACAUCCUGGGUUUGACAAGCAAGGAACCAGGUUUAAACGGUUGAUUAAAGAUCAAAGUGGUCACUCUGAUCUUGAAGAAGGUAUCCGACGUCUAGUCCUCUGCUCAGGGAAGGUAAAAACAGUUUCCUUUUUUACUUGUGCUUUUGAAGAACUCUCAGAUUCUGUGACUUAGUUGAGAUUUGUUGAUCCAGGUUUACUAUGAGCUGGACGAAGAGCGACAAAAGUCUGGAACAAACGACAUAGCCAUUUGCAGAAUGGAGCAGCUUUGUCCAUUCCCUUACGAUCUCAUUCAGAGAGAAUUAAAGCGAUAUCCAAGUAAGUCACUUAAAACAUAGUAAAAAGAGAAAAGAAACGGGGACCGUGUUUGAUUCUUGUGUGGCUUUUUAAAACAGAUGCAGAGAUUGUGUGGUGUCAAGAAGAGCCGAUGAACAUGGGAGCAUAUCAGUAUAUAGCACCAAGGCUGUGCACGGCCAUGAAAGCACUGAACAGAGGAAGCUUCAACGACAUCAAAUACGUUGGGCGUCUUCCUUCAGCUGCUACAGCCACUGGUUUUUACCAGCUUCAUGUCAAGGAGCAAACUGAUCUUGUUCACAAAGCUCUUCAACCUGAUCCCAUCACCCCUAUCCUCCCCUGAAUGAUCCAUCAAGGAAAUAUAUAACAGCUUCAGCUCUUGAAGCUCAUGAGAGUCUGUAUAAAGACGACACAAAAACAAAGAUUCAUGAGAAUCUUUGGUUAUCAUCAAAUAAUUUCACUGCGGAAACCAUAUGUUUGCUAGAGAGUUUCAUUCCAGUUUGAAUGAUUUCGGUUUACUUCGGUUAUCAAUAAAAGUAAAGUAAUCAAACAUGAAUGAUUAGUCUGUUUUAGUGUUCAACAAAUAGCUAGCGGUAACUAUUCGGAGCUUGGGAUUUAAGCGUUAACUAAUUAUUUAUCUUGCUUAAACGUGUUUUAUAUAAAUAUAAAUAUUUUAAUUUUUGGAUUUAGUUAUAAAUUAUUUUAAUAAAUUGAAAAUUCUAUAUACAAAACAGAAAAAUUAUAGAUUUGUAUUAAUAUUAUUAUUUGUUGACAAAAAAGUAUUAAUAUUAUUAUUUAAUUUAACAUAUUUUAAACUGAUUUAUAAGGUUUGAAACUGAAUUAUUUGAAUAGGUUUAAAUCAUAUAAAUUGGAUUUUAAGAAAAUUGUGUGUUUGGUGUAAACCAAAUUUUAGAACGAUGGUUCGAUUAAAAUGUUGGGUUGAUUCGAUUUUUGAAAUAUUGGUUCGAUUUCUGAUUAAUGAUAUCGGUUUGAUGAAAAGUUUCGGCGCAGUCCGGUUUAAACUCACCAGUGUAGGAGUGACGGGUGGUUGCAAUCUUGUUAGAGGAAAAACCGAGAAAAAUGGGGAGCGAACUCCGAUUGGUGCUGAUCAUCUCUUUCGUUUCCGUCCUCGUUUUCUCGACUUCAUCGUCUCCGUUGCCUCGUUUUCCUCGCCAGAACCGAGCCAGAAUCCAGCUCUUCGGGGAAGAUCGAAACGAUUACCAAUACGAAACUAAGUACUUCUCCCAGCAGCUGGACCACUUCAGCUUCGCCGAUCUUCCGAAAUUCUCGCAGCGUUACUUGAUCAACUCCGCUCACUGGACCGGUGCUUCUGAGCUCGGACCUAUCUUCCUCUACUGCGGCAACGAAGGCGAUAUCGAAUGGUUCGCUACAAACUCUGGAUUCAUUUGGGAGAUCGCUCCCAAGUUUGGCGCAUUGCUUGUUUUCCCUGAGGUUCGUUGAUGUUGUUUUUGAUUAGAGCCUUAGAAAAAUAAAGAAACUCGUUACUGAUCUUUAGUAAAUGUUGUGUGUAGCAUAGGUAUUAUGGAGAGUCUAUGCCUUAUGGAAGCAGGGAAGAAGCUUACAAGAACGCUACCACCUUAUCCUAUCUCACAACUGAGCAAGCUCUUGCGGAUUUUGCUGUGUUUGUUACUGAUUUGAAACGGAACUUGUCUGCUGAAGCAUCCCCUGUUGUGUUGUUUGGAGGAUCAUAUGGUGGAAGUAAGUCAUAUGAGUAUUCUUUGUGUUGGUGGAAUUGAGACUUUUUGAGUGAUUUUUUUUUUUUUGCUAAUGAUGGAAAACAUCAGUGUUGGCAGCAUGGAUGAGGCUUAAGUAUCCUCACAUUGCUAUUGGAGCAUUAGCUUCUUCAGCUCCGAUUCUUCAGUUUGAAGAUAUUGUACCUCCUCAGACGUUUUAUGACAUUGUAUCUAAUGAUUUCAAGGUAUACUUGUUUUUUUUUUGUUUUGUUUGUCUGGUUGAUCUUCUCUAGUUCUUAUUCUGGCUGUUUUUUUGGCUUGUAGCGUGAAAGUAGUAGCUGCUUCAACACCAUAAAGAACUCGUGGGAUGCAAUUAUAGCUGAGGGUCAGAAAGCGAAUGGUCUUCAGCAGUUGUCGAAAACUUUUCAUUUUUGUCGGUAAGCAAGAAAAACUGGAGUUAACUUAAAUGGUCUGUCGUUCUCUGUUUGUAUUUGAGCUAAAUUGAGUGGCGUCUUUGUUUUUCAGGGCGUUGAACAGUACAAAUGACCUUUCAGACUGGCUGGAUUCUGCUUAUAGUUAUUUGGCAAUGGUGGACUAUCCGUAUCCUGCUGACUUUAUGAUGCCUUUGCCUGGACAUCCCAUUAAAGAGGUACAUUUUUGGUAGAUUAUCCUAGUCACAUAUUCUCCAAACCAUAUAAUAGUUUAGACAUUCGCUACCUCAUCUGUAUUUUUUUCAUCUUUACAUGAACGACCCUACGAGGCUAUGCUUUAAUGGCUCGCUUGUUAGUUCGUCCUUUGAAGUCCCGAGUUUAAUAAGACUUUAUCUUUAUGUAGGUCUGCAGAAAGAUUGAUGGAGCUAGUAGUGAUGCUAGCAUCCUAGAACGCAUAUAUGCAGGAGUAAGUGUGUACUACAACUAUACUGGGAAGGUUGGCUGCUUCGAGUUGGAUGAUGACCCUCAUGGUUUGGAUGGGUGGAACUGGCAGGUCUGAAGAAUAGCUGCUAUGUUUAUUUUCUUUUUCCAGAAACUUUAAUGGUUAAUCUCCUUGUGCCUUUGGUUUACAAUAGGCGUGCACGGAGAUGGUAAUGCCCAUGUCUAGCAGCCAAAAAAACAGCAUGUUUACAGCUUACGAUUUCAAUUACUCUUCAUACAAAGAGGAUUGCUGGAACACAUUCAGAGUCAAUCCAAGGCCUAGAUGGGUCACAACAGAGCUCGGUGGUCAUGUAUGACCCUUUUUUUUUUUUGAUAACUCAAGAUUCUUUGGAUGGCCAUGAUCUGAAUUUUUACUCUCUGUCACUUUCUCCAAUGUAAAAGGACAUAGAGACCACUUUGAAGUCUUUUGGAAGCAACAUCAUUUUCUCAAAUGGUCUGUUAGAUCCUUGGAGUGGUGGCAGGUAAGAACAUUACUCUCUUUACUCAGAUCCCGAGAGCUAUUUUUUCAAUACGAUUCUCGUAAUGGCAAUGAGUGCUUGACUCGUAAAAUGCAGUGUUCUGAAGAACUUAUCCAGUACCAUUGUUGCUCUUGUCACAAAAGAAGGUAUAACUAAUAGCCUCAUAAUCAUCAUCAUCAUCCGUUCACGUGGAGACUAUUGAUAAUGGUUUUGUUUUCUUUCUUAGGUGGACAUCAUUUGGAUCUACGACCUUCAACUCCAGAAGACCCAAAAUGGCUAGUGGAGCAGCGAGAAGCCGAGAUAGGAUUGAUCCAAGGGUGGAUCAGAACUUAUCGACUAGAAAAAGAAGCUCAAUUUCCUUUGCUAAAACGUUCUUGGUAAGAUGACAAUGUAAAAUAAUCUGAUCAGUUCAUGCAUAACUCAGAAUCUGCAAACUCUGUAACACAUCGUGUUUGAAUAAAUCUAUUCAAGCUCUUGGCGUGUUUGAAUAAAUCUUUGUAAACUCUCGGUGUUCACUACUAGUGUGUUUGAUAAAUAAAUUUGAUUUGGGUUAUUGAAAAAGUAAUAAAUACACGCUAACUCAAGAAAUGUAUGGGCUGCUGGCUCUACACACCAAAACACAUCUGUCAAGUUUGUAAAGAUCAACUUAAAGAAUCAUAAAUCUCAAACACGUGAUACUUGUCAAGACAGAGAGAAUGAUACAUUUAAUGAUUAGAGAAAAGAGUCGAAAAUCUUAAUUACCAUAUUUAAUCACCCCUUUUAAACUCCAUAUUGAAAUUUCUUGGUUUUAAGUUUUAACCGCUUGAAACGAAUAUGUGAAGGCCUUGAAAUGCUACCGCUGAUACUUUUGACUAGUCACUAAAAAAUAAGCGAGCCAGAGAGACGCCACUAUUCUAUUCUUUGCUGUGUGUGUGUGAGAGAGAAAGAAAAGUGAAGAGGCUACAGUCGUGGUUCUGAUCUCUAAUAUCGGAGACAUUUGGGGGUCAAUUGUUAACGGCUAUGGCGACUUGUUACGUUUUUAUUGUGCUUAACGCGUUGGCCAAAAAACUUAUAUGAGGUAUGUGUUAUUUUCAGGCUGUCUUUGAAAGGGAAUCUUCACUACUUGAGAAAGAGCAAGAGCUGCUUGUUGUUGAAGAAAAAAUAGCCAGCAAGGAAUCUGUGAGUUUUCUUGUUAGAUUCAGCGUACUUUAUGUUUAUCGUUCAUAAUUUUAGUUUUGUGCUUAUUUGUUUGCGAGAGUUAAAGUGCUUUUAAACAAUCAAUACAUGAACUGAUUCAGAAGGUCUUAGCCAAUCGAGAAGUUAUCCUGAGGAAAAGAAAAUCUGAUGUGGAAGGUGAGUUGGAAAGUAAGUGCAAAUUGGCGGAAAAUGAAAUCGAAAGCAAGAGACGGGUUUGGGAGCUAAGAGAGGUUGAUAUCAAGCAGAGGGAGGAUCUAGUUGGUGAAAAAGAACAUGACUUGGAAGUUCAAUCAAGGAAAUUGGCAGAGAAAGAAAAGAAUUUAACAGAGAGGUCUUAUAGGCUUGACGAGAAAGAGAAGCAUUUGAAUGCUACAGAGGAAGAUAUCAACCGUAAGACAAAUCUGCUGGAGAAUGAGAAGGAACGAUUAAGAAAGUUAGACUUAGAUCUGCAGCAGACUUUGGUUUCAUUAGAAGACAAGAGAAAACGUGUUGACUCUGCAACGGAAAAACUUGAAGCCCUGAAGAAUGAGACAAGCGAAUUAUUCAUUCUGGAGAUGAAACUCAAGGAGGAGCUAGAUGAUAUGAGGGGUCAAAAGCUUGAACUCCUGGCUGAAGCAGAUAGAAUAAAGGUGGAGAAAGCUAAAUUUGAAGCCGAGUGGAAACACAUUGACGUGAAAAGGGAAGAGUUAAGAAAAGAAGUGGAGUAUAUUACUCGUCAAAGAGAGGCUUUCUCGACGUAUCUCAAGGAGGAGCAAGACUGAUAUCUUGCAUAUUUACAUUGUUUUAUCCAUUCAUCCAUGAGCAUUUUCAUCAUAUAGAUUAGGAUUUAGACAUGUUUAGGUUGCAUUUUGCAUACAUGAGUCUCUAUUAGGUACUGGAGUACCACAUAAGGUUAUUUGGAGCUCAAAAGAGGUGAAAAGGUGACCAUUGGACGAACCGAGCAUGGGAGCGACCUCCCGGAGCGACAUCACGAAGUCGCUGUGUCCCACUUCUCAGAGCGACCUUCCUAAAGCGACGCCAUGAAGUCGCUCGCGUUCUCAUUACUCCGAACAGUCUUAGAUGACCCUGGAGCGACCUCUCAGAGCGACCUACCAAGGUCGCUCCCGAUCCAGAGCGACCCGUUGGAGCGACACACCAAAGUCGCUCGCGACCUCUCGCCCGGAGACACCAAAAAUCGGCCCUGGAGCGACUUCCCGGAGCGACACCUGCAAGUCGCUCCGCGUUAUUUUGCUGCCGAAAAUCACGAUUUCUUAAGGACCUUUUUGCAAUUUAUUUUGGACGUUUUGCACUUGGAAAAACCUAUGUUUUAAACAUCUUUUGUAGCCACCAGGCAGAUUAUCUUUUAUCUAUUGAGAAAUACACAAAAACUCUCUUGAGAAGUUCAUCUCUUGGAUUUUGAUUGUUAUGUUCUUGUGUUGAUUUCUUAUCUAUUUCUCUAGAUGAUUAAUCUGAAAUCCAAUAUGGGUUUAAGAGGAAUCAUGGAGAUUAGUGAGUAAUCACCUUUUGAAUUCAUGGGUUAGGGAGAUUACGGGUGAUUAGGUUAGAGCUAGGAUGUUUUAGUGUAGAUCAUUCAUAUUUCCUUGCUAGUAGAGUAAUCAUAAUGCAUCUUCUGAGUUGGCCACUCAGUUGUUGAUCCUUAGGCAUUUUUCACCCGAAAGAUGUUCGAUGAAAUGCCCGAGACAACUCUUCUAGGCUUUUAGUAUACUUUGCCAAAGACAUUUGUUGUUAAAGAUGCUAAGAUAGCUAAUAGACUUGUUAGUAAUGAUUGCUUUCAUAUUAUUCAACCAAAGACAUUUGAUGUUUGAGAAAUGUUAGCAAAUGAGCAUUCAUCUAGACAUAGAGCUUGCUUAGAAUUGUGUCUAGGUUUAAGGUUGAUAGUUUGAUUGAUCAUUUGCCAUCCUUAGUUCUAUACUUGAUCACCCAAGGUAUAAUCCCUAUGCCCAUGAGUUCUCUUUUCCCUUAGUCAAGAAAGUAUCAUUCUGUUAUUGCUUUCUAGUAUUAGUAGUAGUUUAUACUACAACAUUUGUCUUAGGAGCCUUGAAAACUCCUAACAUCAAAUUGGCGCCGUUGCCAAAUUCUGAGUAGAUUUAAACAUUGAGAUUUAGUCACUUGCUUGAGAUUAAGUCAUUUUUAUUUUCUUUUGUUACUGAUUCUCUUUCUUCACAUCCCUUUAAUCUACAGGUGUAUGAACUUGAGGAGCAGGGGUCCAUCAAACCUAGUUCCAAGAGCUGCAGACAUCAGAGCUUUAGAGAGAGAGUGUGCUAGAAAGAGAAGAGAAGAAGAGCAACAAGCUCACUUGCAGAGAUUGGAUACUGAUAUGGGAGACAUACCUCAGGAUGAUGCUGCCGCCAAUGGAGCUAACAACGUUCCACCAAACCAACAGCGAGCAGCUCGACCCAUUGGCACUUAUGACCGCCCCAACAUUCAUGGUCAUAGAUUGGAAAUCCGAGCACCAGCUGUAGCAGCCAACAACUUUGAGAUCAAAUCAGGACUCCUCAAUGUGAUUGAGAACAACAAGUAUCAUGGCUUGGCUCUAGAGGAUCCAUUUGAUCACUUGGACAGGUUCGACAGCUACUGUGGGUUGUCAAAAACCAAUGGUGUGUCCGAAGAUGCCUUAAAACUCAAGUUAUUCCCUUUCUCUUUGGGGGAUAAGGCACAUCAGUGGGAGAAGUCUCUACCCAGUGACUCCAUCACCACUUGGGAUGACUGCAAGAAAGCAUUCUUGGAGAAGUUCUUCUCUACUUCAAGAACUGCUAAGCUGAGAAACGAGAUUUCCAGCUUUCAACAGAAGAACUUGGAAGGCUUCAGUGAAGCCUGGGAGAGAUUCAAGGGCUACCAAGCUCAAUGCCCACACCAUGGCUUCUCUAAGGAGAGCUUGCUGAGCACAUUCUACCGUGGUGCUCUUCCUAAGUACAGAGCCAGACUGGAUACAGCUAGCAAUGGGUUCUUCUUGGGGAGAACUGAGGAGGAUGCAGAAGAGCUGGUUGACAACAUGGUAAAGAGUGAUGCAGUCUACAGUGGAGACCACGACAGAGGUAGUAGAACAGAUGAUAAGCAGACGAGGAAAGAGAUCAAAGCUUUGGAAGACAAGAUCGACCUACUCAUUGCUGAAAAAGCAACCCAAGAGCAGCUGAAGUUUGUUGGUAACUCCAAGCAGGAAGAUCCACUUGCUGUCAAUGAGGUUGAGGGUUUGGAAGGUCAAGAGGAGUUGUGUUUCAUUAACAACAAUGGUAGCUGGUACAAAAAAGAGCCCAACUUUCAGUACAACAACUACCAACAGAAAUCCUAUCCAACCAACCAACAGAGUGGUUAUCCGCCUAGAAACAACCAGCAAGGCAGCUAUCAGCCUCAGCAAAACCCCUCGUCUGGUUCCUCUGCUCCUCAAGAGAGCAGCACUGAUACCUUAUUGAAACAAAUCUUGGAGUCUCAGACUAGAAGUGAGAAGCAUGUUGGUUAUGAGUUGAAGAACCUUCAUACCAAGAUUGAUGGGAGUUACAAUGAGCUCAACAACAAAUUCUCACACCUUGCUUCUACAGUCAGGAAUUUAGAGAAUCAGUUUACUUCCAUGAACACUCACCAGAAUCGCCAGCAAGGAUCUCCACCUGGAAAGUCUGACCAAAACCCCAAGGAGGCCAAGGCUAUCACCCUUAGGAGUGGUAAGCAGUUACCUCCUAGAACCCUCACCAAGGAUGCUGAGAAACUAAGUGAGGGGGUUGCCAUCAACAUAGAUGAUGAAGUAGUGAUUGUUGAUGAGAAGAUCAAUGACGAGAUCUUGGACAAGAUAGUGGAAGCCAGAGGUAAAGGAAAGGUUGGAGAAGAGAAGAAGACAGUAAAAGAUGGUGAAGUUGGUACUCCAACAAGUGAGAGUUCUUUUGUUCCUCCUCCCUAUGAACCCAAACUUCCAUUCCCUGGUAGAUUCAAGAAGCAGCUGCUAGAGAAGUACAAGGCUCUGUUUGAGAAGCAAAUGAGUGAAGCUCAGGUUGCAAUGCCCAUCAUCGAUGCUUUUAUGUUGAUUCCUCAAUACAACAAGUUCUUGAAAGAUGCUGUAGCUGCAAAGAAGAAGGAGAUGGAAGACAUGAUGAUCCUUACCCAUGAGUGCAGUGCCAUCAUCCAGAGGCUUGAUGUUCCAGAGAAGUUAGAGGAUCCAGGAAGCUUCACACUACCUUGUGCUCUUGGACCUAUGGUAUUUGAGAAAAGUCUCUGCGAUUUGGGAGCUAGUGUCAGCUUGAUGCCUUUGUCUGUUGCAAAGAAGCUUGGAUUCACUCAGUACAAGAAGUGUAGACUCUCUCUGGUGUUAGCUGAUCGUUCAGUGAAGUACCUGUGGGCAUCUUAGAGGACCUCCCUGUGAAGAUUGGAAGGUAUGAGAUACCUACAGAUUUUGUGGUGCUUGAGAUGGGUGCUCAAGACCAUUGAUUCUAGGAAGGCCAUUCUUAGCUACAGCAGGAGCUAUUGUUAAUGUGAAGGAAGGCACGAUUGAUCUCCAUUUGGGUAAAGAGAACAUCCUCCACUUUGACAUCAAGGGAAAAUGAGGAAACCAACUGUGUUCGGGCAAGCCUUCUACAUUGAAGAGAUGGCCACUCCUGCUGAUGAGCACCUUGAAGAGUUACCACCUGAGGACGACGAGGAGGGAGCAUCUCCCUCUACUCAUUCCCCAUAGAAGGUAACCCACCACACUCCCUUGUAUAUACCAUUUUAUUUUUGCAUAUUAGUCUUCUUUUCGGUAUCUCUCUCUCUACUUGACAACACAGAGACUGUGUAACUCAAGUUUGGGGGAGGUACCAAGUAUUUGAUCAUGUUUGCUUUGAUGUUGUUUCAUUGAGUCAUGCAUGGCAUACCUAUUUGCAUAGAUAAAAAAAAAAUCAAUCAUUUAGUUUGCAUCAUUUGCAUUUUUAGGAGAGUCUAGAGCAUAUAGUUUGCAUUCACUUGCAUUGGGAGCAUUGAUUUUGAAUGCCUUGUAAAGAACACUACGUUGCACUUGAGUAGUUUUUGCACCUCUCAAAAAGACUUGUAUGUUUCGAGCCUUGAAAACUCUUCCUGAAACUUGUUGAUUGCUGAAACUCAGUCUUUGAAGCCAACUACGACCUUAUUUGAACUGAACGAACUUAAUGCUUCUUGCUCAUGGUACCUUGUGUACUGAGUCAUGGCUAUACACACUUGAGUUGUAACAUCUUUUAUACCAAUCUUUUUUUGACAAACUCUAGUGGUAGACCACUCCCAAAACCUUUUCCUCCUUUUAAGCUUUCAUUGUUUGAUGAGUGAGGCAUUUUUUGGGAAGUCUUACAUGUGCAUAAUGUUGAGAGUAUCGGGAACGACAAUGCUUGAUCUUCAUUCUUGCUAGAUUGGGCACUCUAUUGUCUAGCUAUAGGUGGGGGGUGAGUGUUGUGAUUAUGAUUUGGGAGAAAUGAAAAAGGAAUAGAAUAGACUCUUUGUGCUUAAGUGAAUUGUUUUAUUGGGAUAGUAGAGAAGCCUCUAGCUCAAGUUUUGAAAAGUCUUGGCCCCCAGCCUAAAAAAAAAAAAAAAAAAAAAAAAAGGAAAAAAAAACGAAAAAAAAAAAAAAAAAAAAAAAAAAAAGAAAAGAAAAAAGGGGGCUAGCAAAGUUGUUAGGAGCUAAGAAAUGUUUUGAGGUUGUGAAAAAUCCCUUGUAGAUUUCAAAGAGAAGGAGUUAAAGUUCUUAGGAUCUUUUGGUGAGAGAUGUGAGUUGGGUUUGACAUUGGGAAAUGAUUGUGUGAUUUGUAUGUUUGGGAAAAGGGUAGAACAAUGGAGAUUGAGCAUUGUAUGCAUGAGUUGGUCCCUUUCUUAGAUAUAUUAUGUGCAAUGUCAAGGCUACUUGUUUUGAGAGUAAACCACCUUAAAGAUCAUAUGUUUUGAACCUCUUGAAUCACUUGAAUAAAAGCCUUCCCUUACCCAACCAAAUGACUUGGACCAACUGACCAUUUGCAAGAAUUCACCUGAUGUUUUGUGCUUAAUGAAUGUGAGAGUUGGUUGAUUUGAAUGUGUGGAUGCUUGAUGAUGAGUGUAAGAACAAAAAGAGUUAAGAUAGGCCUAGAGAAGCUAGAGUGUAAUAAGAGAGUGUGCUAGUUGUGUUUCUUUUGGCUAUGUGCUCCCUCCUUCAACCUCUCUCCCUAUGAGUUCUAGAAAGUUCACUUGUGGACAAGUAAAAGAACAAGUUUGGGGGAGUUGAUAUCUUGCAUAUUUACAUUGUUUUAUCCAUUCAUCCAUGAGCAUUUUCAUCAUAUAGAUUAGGAUUUAGACAUGUUUAGGUUGCAUUUUGCAUACAUGAGUCUCUAUUAGGUACUGGAGUACCACAUGAGGUUAUUUGGAGCUCAAAAGAGGUGAAAAGGUGACCAUUGGACGAACCGAGCAUGGGAGCGACCUCCCGGAGCGACAUCACGAAGUCGCUGUGUCCCACUUCUCAGAGCGACCUUCCUAAAGCGACGCCAUGAAGUCGCUCGCGUUCUCAUUACUCCGAACAGUCUUAGAUGACCCUGGAGCGACCUCUCAGAGCGACCUACCAAGGUCGCUCCCGAUCCAGAGCGACCCGUUGGAGCGACACACCAAAGUCGCUCGCGACCUCUCGCCCGGAGACACCAAAAAUCGGCCCUGGAGCGACUUCCCGGAGCGACACCUGCAAGUCGCUCCGCGUUAUUUUGCUGCCGAAAAUCAUGAUUUCUUAAGGACCUUUUUGCAAUUUAUUUUGGACGUUUUGCACUUGGAAAAACCUAUGUUUUAAACAUCUUUUGUAGCCACCAGGCAGAUUAUCUUUUAUCUAUUGAGAAAUACACAAAAACUCUCUUGAGAAGUUCAUCUCUUGGAUUUUGAUUGUUAUGUUCUUGUGUUGAUUUCUUAUCUAUUUCUCUAGAUGAUUAAUCUGAAAUCCAAUAUGGGUUUAAGAGGAAUCAUGGAGAUUAAUGAGUAAUCACCUUUUGAAUUCAUGGGUUAGGGAGAUUAAGGGUGAUUAGGUUAGAGCUAGGAUGUUUUAGUGUAGAUCAUUCAUAUUUCCUUGCUAGUAGAGUAAUCAUAAUGCAUCUUCUGAGUUGGCCACUCAGUUGUUGAUCCUUAGGCAUUUCUCACCCGAAAGAUGUUCGAUGAAAUGCCCGAGACAACUCUCCUAGGCUUUUAGUAUACUUUGCCAAAGACAUUUGUUGUUAAAGAUGCUAAGAUAGCUAAUAGACUUGUUAGUAAUGAUUGCUUUCAUAUUAUUCAACCAAAGACAUUUGAUGUUUGAGAUAUGUUAGCAAAUGAGCAUUCAUCUAGACAUAGAGCUUGCUUAGAAUUGUGUCUAGGUUUAAGGUUGAUAGUUUGAUUGAUCAUUUGCCAUCCUUAGUUCGAUACUUGAUCACCCAAGGUCUAAUCCCUAUGCCCAUGAGUUCUCUUUUCCCUUAGUCAAGAAAGUAUCAUUCUGUUAUUGCUUUCUAGUAUUAGUAGUAGUUUAAAACUCAUCUAAAUCAUUGGUUGCACUUAGAUUAAGUGAGUACUUGCAUUCUCGGUGCUUUGAUAUCCCUCAGAACUGGUUCGACAAUCAUUUAUACUACAACAUUUGUCUUAGGAGCCUUGAAAACUCCUAACAUCAAAGACAACAUCAGGGAGGAAAGGGAUGCGCUGAGAAAUCAGCAGAAGAACGACGUGGAGGCGCUGAACCGAGAGCGUGAAGAAUUCAUGAAUAAAAUGGUGGAGGAGCAUUCAGAGUGGCUUAGCAAGAUACAGCGCGAACGUGCUGACUUCUUGUUGGGUAUUGAGACACAGAAAAAAGAGUUGGAGUAUUGCAUUGAGAACAGACGAGAAGACUUGGAGAAUUCUUCGAGGGAGAGAGAGAAGGCUUUUGAGCAAGAGAAGAAGUUGGAAGAGGAGCGUAUACAGUUCCUCAGGGAGUCGGUGCAGAAAGAGUUAGAAAAUGUACAAGUGGAACUAAAGAGGUUGGAUUUAGAGAAGCUGGAGAUCAAAUUGGACCGUGAGAGGAGGGAGAGGGAGUGGUCUGAGUUGAAGGAUUCGGUUGAGGAGCUAAAGGUUCAACGAAAGAAACUAGAGACGCAAAGGCAUAUGCUUCGAUCCGAAAGAGAAGAAAUCAGACAUGAGGUUGAAGAGCUGAAGAAGUUGGAGAAUCUGAAAUUUACGUUAGAUGAUAUGUCAAUAGCUAGAAUGCAAUUGUCCAAUUUAGAGCGUAGCUGGGAAAAAGUGUCUGCAUUGAAGCAGAAGGUUGUUAUUACUAGGGACGAAGAACUAGACUUGCAAAAUGGAGUCAGCACUGUGAGUAAUAGCGAAGAUGGUUAUAACUCAAACAAUGGCUCAAGCCCUUCAUCCGCCACUCCAUUUUCAUGGAUAAAACAAUACACUAAUAUGAUAUUCAAGAAUCCUCCGGAGUCAUCCCUUCCAAUGCAUCAUCAUGAAGGAGCAUUGCCUUCAAAAAAAAGAGAAGAAAAGGCUUCACCAAGGGGCUGUCGAUUGCAGUUGAAAACCUUGAAGUCGGAAGGAAAAGAAGAUGUAACAAUGCAUCUGGAAGUGACACUAAUGAAACAAGCAAUCAAAAGAAGAGGAAACAUGAUGUUACCCAUGAAGCUGAUCCGGAGAGGUAAAAUUUAUGGUCGCUCAGUAACAAAUUUUUUCUUGUUACUAAAAUGAUAUGCAUUUUCAAUUUUGUCAGUGUAAUUUCAAGCCCUCAAAAUGUGCCCGAGGACAAACAUGAACUGCCAUCAAACCAAACCCAAGCACCACCAAGUGUUAUGGUAGUCCUCAGUGAAAUGGUGAAGAUCACAAAAGUAACGUAUGAGACAGAGUUCAUCAACAAAGUGUCAAACAUUGAGUGCUCAGAUGAUCCUUCUGAAGCAGGAACGAAGAUGGUAGAGGAGAAGAAGCAAGAUAGUGAUUGCAAUGAGGUGGGUUUUUUCAACACACAAACCCUCUCGAAAGCAAAAUUUUUCUCAUUACUAGUGUAACUAAUGAAUACUUUUUCUCUCUUGCUGUAGACUGGGAUAAAGGAGAAGGAUUCUGACGAUGGUGGCAUUGUAACAUGAGUUAACUGACAGGAGGUAUAAGCAUAUAAGGUUUGACCAAGUCUUCACUAAUGACCUCCCACAUUUGAAAGAGUAUCAAAAUUCACAAACAAGAGUUAUUGUUUCUCUUUUAUCGAUAUAGGGAACUCUAUGAAUCCUUAAGGGUUUGUUUCUGGAUAAGAUUUGAGUAUGUAAAUGGAUUUGAUUGGUUUCAAAACUCUCUCGAGAUGUUAUAUAACUCUGAGUCAUUAUUAUUUGUUUUUUUUUUCAUAUUUUAAGUGAGUAGAGAGAGUGUUGGUAUGUAGGUAAGAAUCGUUGGUUGCUUGUGUGUUGCAGAGUUUGCCUGAGCAAAUGAUUUGUCGGUUUCAAAGACUCGGUUUGAAAAUCAGUUUCGGGUUUUUAUUUGUUUGAUAAUGCUCUAUCUUGUUGAUGAUGAUGGCGUUUAGCCCACCAGCAGUGAAGUGAAAGUGUCAACGGCAUUGUCUCUUAUUUGUCUGUCACCGUCGCUGUUUCCAACUACGAGGACCUGAUGGCCCGGCCCAGUUUAUGGUGUUUUGUAUUUGAGCCUUGCCCAUUAUUUCAUGGACUAUAGAAUUUCAAAGUCAAAUUGAAUAUGCUAAAAAUAGCCGCAGAUCUUAGAGCAUGAUUAAUGGUGGGUUCUUAGAGUGAGUUUUCUAGCGGAAUAUAAGAACCUGUCUCUUAAUUUUUAACUAAAAUAGUUAAGACCCGGUUCUUAAAUAUCUUAUUUAAUAACUGGUUUUUAGUUUUUUUUAGUUAAAAGUUAAGAGAUGUGUUCUUAUAUUCCGAUAAGAACCUCACCCUAAGACCAUGAUUAAUCUGGGUUCCUAGGAUAGGAUUCUUAGCUUCGGCUAAGAACUGUUUCUUAACUUUUAACUAAGAAAAGCUAAGAACCGUCACUUAAAUAAGAGAUAUAAGAACCGGUUCUUAGCCGAAAAGUGUAAAAAAAACAAAAACAAAAAAAUGUCAAAUCAUGAGUUAAGAACCUCAAAUUAAGAAUCCGGGUUAAUCAUGCUCUAAGAAUCCACCAUUAAUCAUGCUCUUAGGUGAUGACAUUCCGCCAUAUCCCCUUUUUGCUUUGAGAUUAGGAUCUCAUUAUGAUGUCUUUCCACUUUUUUUUAUGCCGAAACCUUAAAGCCCUACGAAAAACAUAGCAAUAUUUGAUAUUUAUGCUGGCUGUGCAGAUAUUCGAAUUUCAUGCUUGCUUCUAAGGUUUCAGGAAUUUUCAUUAUUGAGAUUAUAAAAUAAUAAUAUUUCGUCUUUUAGAACAUUAUUGAAUGCAAAAUAAUUAUCUCUCGUCACUUAUUUUUUGCAAUUGUUUUGCCUAAUCGUAUAUGCUAACAUCAGAAAGCUAUGGCGAAGAACAGAUUGAGUGUGAAAUGGGUGAAGAAAUCGGCAUUCAUUUGUGGGUUAACUUACCCCGCUUAAUGAGUGACAGCUUAAUUCUACUUUGCAACUUGAGGGAUAUUUAUUUUUAAUCAUAUACUUAUUUAAUUAAGCUAAAAUAGUCUAAACCCCACUAUCUUUGUCUUUAGACCGACGCAUUCCCCUCCUAUCCUGGUUCAAACCCUUAAACCUACUAAUUUCUGAAAUCAAUCUCCAAGUAAUCGAUAUCUUUCUGGAAUUCUUAUGAAUUUAAUUAUUUAGAGAAUGAUUUUGUAUGGUAUAUACUUGAGGAAAAGCUUAUCAAAACUCAUUUAAACUUCUAGAUACACGAGGAGACGUAGAACUUCGUGCAAAAGGAUGUCAUAAUUAUCUCAUGAUUACGUUAUAGGAACAUGUUUUAUGGGAGUAGUAAGUUAUUUUUUGGAUAUAGUGUAACAAAAAGAGUGUAUACUUGUCACGAGAGUCAUAUCAUAGAAGUAGAACUCACCUUCCUUUUCUUCAUCUUUAAUUUAGAAUACUUCCAAAAAGUAAGUGGAUCCUGAAAAGUACCAUUAUGAUUUAUGAAAAGAGAAGAGAAAAAUCAAAGAAGAAAGAAAGAUGCCUUGAUAUAUAUUACAGUGACCUUCCUCUUCUUAACCUUUACCAUCUUUGUUUGACAAUUGUCUUUCUCCUCAAAAAGUUAUUUUUAAUGGAUCAUUCAAUUUUAGUCAAUCUUGUAGUUGUAUGUAUUAUCAUCUAUAUGAUAUGAAUCCUGGAUGAGUUUCACAGAUCCUUGAAUACCAUAUUUAGCAGAAAUAUAUAUAUAUAUAUAUAGAUAUAAAUAAAAUUUUACAAAUAUCAAUUCAACAACAAAUAUUUUUCAUAGGCUAAAAAGUUCUCCUAGUUCAGCAUGUCCUAACUACAAAAUAAUUGCAAACCACAGUAUCUAAUAUUUAACUAUUUGUAACACAAAUGUUAUGGUUAUUAUUGAAAGUUAGGACACAACAAACUAAAAAGAACCCUAGGCUGUAUUGAGCAACAAAAGAUAGGAUGUGUUAGCGUAAAUGCCAUGUCAUAUAAAUAUGCAUGGUAAGUUGGCAAUGACAUUAUCUCAAUAAUACACAUAUUUUAAGGGAUUUAUCACUUUUUAUGGGGAAAUUGAAAAAGAAGGAAUGGGCUACGCUGAAAGACCAAUUUAUGUUUCCUACUAGUGUUGUUGAAAUCUGAAUACACUGUUUUUUUUUCUUUGUUUUUAUUACCCUUAGCUUCAAAGUUCAAACUUCAUUUUACUUUUCCAUAAAUAAAGAUAUUUUAUCCAUGACGAUACAUAUUUUAUUCCACAAAAGCAUAUAAACACAGUGAUAAUACCUCAAUAAUUUGAAGACUUUACGUUUUUCCAAGUGCUUUGACUUUUAACCCUUAAUUAACCAUCACAAGUCAACUUGUUUUUGUUUCUCUAGAAAGCCUUUUUUUUAGAACUCCUCUAGAAGCCUUUUGCUCAUAUAAGCUUGCAAAGAACCAAUUUAAAGUUUCGACCAAAAAAAAAAGAACCAAUUUAAAGUUACAAGUACAUGCGUAUUCGUUUAUGAGUAUUAUUAAUAAUAGGCUAACACGAUGUUAAGGAACCUAUCAAUCGUAUUUCACUUGUUUUGCAAGAAACUAAAUUACUAAACAAUACACCCAAUUUGACCAAUAUUUAUUUUACAUAAAAGAUUGGAGAAAAAACACUGUUAACCACAUACGUUUAUACAAUAAGGUCCAAAGAUUGUGACGCCACAUAAUAAGAGGUAGUGAGUUUUCUUGUUCCUUAAUCUCAGCUGCCGUGGAAAAUAAGUGUUACUAGUAAAUUCAUUAUUGAAUUUAUAAUUGCUAGAUUUAUAACAUCCCCAUCAAAUCUUUGAUUAAAUUUUGAUUUCGGGUCCAUUGAACAGGCGUCACAAGGCUCAAUAUUAAUACUGCAUGAUUGCUAAGUGGCUGCAUGUUUAAAUUAAUAACAAACCCUUUUAUCAAUUCAUUAUUGUACCCUAAGUUUGAAAUUUUGUCAUCUUAUAAUCCCUUUAAUUAAACAAAAAAAUUAUUUCGAGAUUGAUAGACGAAGUAUAUAUCAAACAUGACCCAGAAAACUAUUAAUAUCCAUAAACAUGAUAGUGGUAAAUUUUCUCCGAGGGUUGGCAAAAUUUUGUUCACCAACCAUAACAGAAUUCACUCACAAAAUUUAAUAUAUAUACCUUUCUUUCAUCUCUUUUGGUACAUAUCAUUAACUCCUAUCUUUUUCAAAAGGGUAAUAUUAAAUAGCAAGUGAUUCAACAUCCACCAAUUGUGAUUCUAUGAUUGGUAAUGCUUUUUGGACAGUAUGGAUUUGAAUAUUUAUGUUGGAUAUUUUGAUAUACUGCGGAUAUGUCUAUUCGUUUUUAUCCAGGACAUGAACGUUUAUUCGAUUGGCGAAUACUAGAUGCUAUUGCUACUCUUUUGUUAAAUUAUUCAUGCUUUGUUUUGAUCUUUAAUUUGAUCUAAAAAGAUAUGCAUGUUAAUGAUUUUUUUUAAUUGGACGAUGGCCUAUCCGUUAUCAAACUAUCAGAAUAUACUCUCUCUUUUUUUUUGAAAAAAACUAUCAGAAUAUACUUCAGUUAGACGAUACAUAAAAAAAUCAAAAUAGCAGUCUUCUCAUGUACUUAUUCAAGUGGUAUAUAUAUACUGAUAUUGACCAGUGAGAUAUUGUUCAAUAGGAUUUUUUGUGUGUAUAUAAAUGAAUUAUAAAUUCUUAGUUAAUUCACACAUUUCCAUCACCAAACAUUCGAAGUAUUUGUCUCUAGCUAUCUCGACAACAACAUAUAAUACAAUCAUAUAUAUGUACUAUACUACAAAAUCAAUUACUAGCCAAUACAUUAACUCUGUAUAUAUACGUACGUAGUACAUACAAGUCUAAUUCAGUCACUUAUUGGUUCAAAGUUUGAAAUAUUGAAUUAUUUCAUUAUUAUUGAUGACCAGAUUUUGUCUUUCUUUCUUUUUGGCAUCGACCAGGUCUUAUCACAUGCAUGCAAUAAAAGUACACAUAACCGGUCUUUCUUUCCUAUUCGUAAGUUGUCAUGCAAGUUGGGCUUCAAGCUUUCGUGAAAUCAUAUGUAAUAAGUUUAAUAAUGCAAAAAAAAGUGUAACAAUGCAUACACAUAAUACAUAUAUACAUAAAAUAGUCCAUUUUUACUACAUUAUAAUAAUUGAUUAAAAGUAUUUGCAAUGUUGUAGCCAUUACUAUACAUUUAUAUUUUUUUGCCAAAGGAUUUACUAUUUAUAUUAGAUAAGUAAAUCAUACUCCUUAAGGACCUAAACUGCGGAUCAGAUAUUAUAAAAGAUUAGACAAUAUUAGCAUUCUCGCUAGGAAUGAAAUUCUAUAGCGUCCAGUAUCAUAAAAUAAUUAUUAUUAUUAUGCGUAUAAAAUUACUAGAAAUAGAAACAUAGAAUGGCAGAAUUAAAAAAAAAUAACACACUGGAAGUAAUAAACAGUGAUAAGACAACGAUUAAUUUUAACAUAAAGCUGCAGUGGCCUAUGUAGGAUACAUUUCCGAGUUCUGUAUAAUAUAUCUAUUUUUAGACAAAAGAAUAAAAAAAAUGAUUAUAAACUGAUAAUUUAAUGCAACUCAUGCAAUCAUACUACAAAAUACAUUCCAUAUAUAUCCAUCUUAUUAUUUCAACUUAGCAAAUUCAUUAAAAAAAAUUUAAAUAGAUCAUCCAUAUUAAUGGAAUGUAAUACAAUAUUAUCAAGUUAUAUGAUCACAGCCUCAAAUCGAGAGUUAAGGGAGGGAGGAUUUGGGGGGAGAGGGAGUAAGAGACAAAGAGUCAAAGGGUGGGGGCGGCUAAGAAAACAUUAUCAUUUAUGGUGUUUAUUGUUACACAUAUAUAUGGGGAUCAUUAGGAAAAUUAUCUUAAUAAAAAAUAGAUUUCUUAAUUAAAUUAAUAAUAAUAUUGAAUCGAUCUAGAUGCUGAUGUAGAAGCAAAGACAAAGGAGAAAAACACUAGUCUCCCCCUUCUUUGUUAUUUCUAAAUCCUACUAGUAUUAUAUCACAUAAUUUAUUUCAUCAAAAUUUUCAAUUCCAUAAAGUAACUUUUGAUUCAUUUUUGUUUGUUUUAAUUCCUACUUUUGACAUCUUCAUCACAUGAAGGACUAUCUCCUCCAGCUAUUAUAUACUCUCUCUCUUCUUUUUAUUUUCUUCAUUCACAUAUACUUUUCUCCAUUACACACAUUUCCAUGUAUCUAUAUAUAAGAACCUCACACACACGCAAUCACACACCAUCCUCCUCCUUCUCCUCAUCAGCAUAACUGAGAAAGAGAGAAAGAUACAACAAGAAUAACGAAUCAAGAAGAUGGGAAGAGCACCGUGUUGUGACAAGGCUAACGUGAAGAAAGGGCCGUGGUCUCCUGAAGAAGACGCAAAACUCAAAGAUUACAUCGAGAAUAAUGGCACAGGCGGCAACUGGAUUGCGUUGCCUCAGAAGAUUGGUAUAUACCUAAAUUUACUUCUAAUUUAAAAUCUGCAGAAAAAAAUCAAUUAGUUUGAGACGGCUUGUAUAAUCUAUAGUAAACCGAAUUUUCCUGUGUAUAUUUGUGCGUUGAUAUAUAUUAUAUGUGCAUGAUAUAGGUCUAAGAAGAUGUGGGAAGAGUUGCAGACUAAGGUGGCUCAACUAUUUGAGACCAAACAUCAAACAUGGUGGCUUCUCUGAGGAAGAGGACAACAUCAUUUGUAAUCUCUAUGUUACCAUUGGUAGCAGGUACUAAAUGUUAUGUACUUAUAGGUCAAUAUCAUUAUUUAAUACACUAGUCUUGAAUUAGAUCAGAGCUAUUAUGUUUAUACAUGUUCAAUAAUUUUUUUAUUUUUAAAGGUGGUCUAUAAUUGCUGCACAAUUGCCUGGAAGAACAGACAAUGAUAUCAAGAACUAUUGGAACACGAGGCUGAAGAAGAAGCUUCUUAACAAACAAAGAAAAGAGUACCAAGAAGCUCGGAUGAAGCAAGAUAUGGUGAUGAUAAAGCGACAAGAACAAGGACAAGGCCAAAGUAAUGCUAGUAGGGAUCUUUAUUCGAACAGCAUGUUUGGAUCAUCACCAUGGCCAUUACUACCUCAGCUUCCCUCUCCUCACCAUCAAGUACCUCUUGUCAUGAUGGAACCAACAAGCUGCAAUUACUAUCAAAUGACACCGUCUUGCAACUUCGAACAAAAGCCACUGAUCACACUCAAGAACAUGGUCAAGACUGAAGAAGAACCGGAGAGAACAAACCCUGAUCAUCAUCACCCUGAAUAUUCUAUCACAAACCCUUUUGAUUUCUCCUUCUCUCAGCUUUUGUUAGAUCCUAAUUACUACCUGGAGCCAGUAGGAGGAGAAGGAGAGCUUGCGAUCACGAGUAGCAGCACCAACUCUCCAUUACCAAACACAAGUGCUGAUCACCAUCAACAACAACAAGAGAUUCUUCAAUGGUUUGGGAGUAGUAAUUUUCAGACAGAAGCAGUCAAUGAUAUGUUCUUAAGCAACAACGACAUAGCAAAUCUUGAGACCAACGAGAACACAAAAUUCUAUGGAAACUUGCCAGUGGCCGGAGCCGCAGCAGCUUUAGCCGGAGGAACGACGAGUACAUCGGCGGAUCAAAGCACAAUAAGUUGGGAGGACAUAACCUCUCUUGUCAAUUCCGAUGAUGCAAGUUACUUCAAUGGGCCAAAUCAUUUGUAACUUAAAAAUAUAUAUAUUUUUACUAAUAUAUAAAGAGGGUUUUUUUUUGUAUAAAUGUGUGUUCUAAGGGAGUGGUAAAAAACAUAUGGAUUUAGAUUAAUAUUCAUGAAGACAUUUUUUUAUUUUAGUUUCGAGUCAGCUUUAUUCACGACCAAUAUAUAUGAUCUUUUGAGUUUUUAUGAUUACUGCUUUUAUAAAUGUAAGAUACAUUCUACCUUCUAGCUUCUUUCUUUUUCCCCUUAAUUCAUUAGGUCAUUUAGAUUUUUGUAAAGAUCUUUACAGAUUACAAUACAUUUGACACAUAAAAAAAAAGAAGGAAACAACUAUGAAUCUAAAAUAGAGAGCCUAAAAGAGGAUUGUCUUUUAAACGCACCAACAUCGAUCAUCAAUUACUCAUUAUAAAAAGUUCAUAUUUUAAGUGUUAACACUUUUAAUUAUCACACAUAUACGACAAGUUCUUUUAUAUAUUAAAUAGUAAUUGUUAGGUGCCUAUAGUAUUAAUGGAGAAUCCAAGGAUGAUUUUCUUCCAUGUUUCCUCCUAUUCAACUCCACUCGUGUCUAUGUAUAUACAUGCAUGAAUUAUGAUACAUUUGUCAUUUUAUAACAGUGAAAACAUUUAUGACAGUCAAAUUUUGCCAGAUCAGGUCAUACAAAUCGACCAACCAAUUUUUCUGAUUUUGUAUAGUUAACUCACGAAUGACUUUCGAAUACUUUCAACACUUGAAUAUCGUUACUGAGACAUUUGGCAUUUUAAUCUUUUUGGUGUAAAUGUUUAAAAUGGCAUUUUAAUCUCUCACUAAGUAGCUAUGUCUGUAAUGCACACGUUUGUAUGCGCACCUUAUAUAUACGUGGUUGAGUAAUUAUAUGCAUAAUUCAUUAAAAAGAAAGAAUGCACCUACAUGGACACGUACAUGGUCGGAUCUAUAUGGCUUUGUCUAAUCGAGAUACUCCGACAAACACUCGAAUACACAUGAGUGUGUAUGCACAACUAUACUAUAUGUUAGUUUUCUUACAUAAUUAGUAUUUUAAUUGUUUGAUCGUAAAGAAACAUUAAUGUUAACAGUUAUUAAUAUAUAUAUAUAUGCAGUAUAUAUGAAAUGGUUCCUUUUUAUUAUUUUUUUUUUGUCAGCAAAACAACAAACUCAUAUAGAUUCUGUGAACCAAACUAGUAGCUCCGCAUCCAUGUGGACAACAAACGAGGGUUGCUUUAUUGCAUUGCGUGCUACACUAUCCGCCUUUGAAUUUAGCUUCUUUGGUAUAUGAAUGAGCUCUGAGCUGUGGAAACAUCUUUUUCAGGAUCUUGAUAGACUGUUAAAAAUGAAUGAAUAAAUAAAUACCUAACAAAAUGAAGAAGAACUGACCAAUUCAACGAAAGUGUCCGUAUAGCUUCGAAACUCUCUUUCUCUUUUUCUCUCUCUCUAGUCAGUUUGGUUUUGAAGAUCACAGAAUCAAAUGAUGUCAUCCAAAUUUCUCUUUCUGUGAGUUUGGCACAUAUCUUUGCCCAUUCAAACCUCCAAAUAAAAUAAUUUGAUUUCUAUCCACUUUUUCACUCCAGAUAGAUAUAGACAUGGAUUGAGCGAAAUUAGAUAGAAAAUAGUUAAGAAGAUAGCUUUAGAGGAGCCCUCCUGAACGCAACCUCCUUAAGCUUCACCAAUAUCUGUCUUCGAACCGACUUCCAAGUGCUCCACUGAGCAAUCACACAGAAAAAAUGGACGAUGGAUCUCUUCGGUACUCUAUCAGACGUCGACUCUUUAGCUUUCUCUUUUAAUUCACCGUUUUCUGUCGUUUUGGUUUCAUCCCACGAACUGAAAAUGACUUGGCCGAUGGAUUUGCAAAAGCUCAACUCUACACCAUCGUAUCCUGAACCUUUGGGUUUUAGUAGUCUUUUCUUUUAAUAGAAGUAUUAUGUUGCACAAAAAAAGAUAGAAAAUAGUUUAAUUUAGAAAAUUUCGUGUGAGUCAGCUUGUAACCGGAUCCUUAACCCGUUUCGAAUUUUAAUAUAACUAAUAUAAUUUUUAAAAAAAUAUAUAUAUAUAUAUAUAUAUAUAUAUAUAUGCAGAAAACAAGUUUUAUUAUGUUGACAGUUAUUACUAAGAUUCUUUUUUGUUAAAGAGAAACUAUUGCUAUUUUACUUGAAAAUAGUUUUUUUAAAGGAACUACUCGAAAAGUUUUUUUUUUGUUAAAGGGAUUUCUUCUACUCGAAAAGUUUUCCAUUAAAUUAGAAAAAACCUUAACGCUAUACGAGAAAUAUCACAGCAUACUUGAUCAUAUAUCAGUAAACCAACAUUUAAUAAAUAGAACUUAGCCAGUAAAAUGUCUACAUAUGCAUCAUAGACGAAACAUUCGUAUUCUAUAUUAACUUAAAACGACUAUAUGCAUAGCAUAUAACCCAGUCAAAAAGACAAUAAACGGCACUAAGUCUAAGAGAUGGUUCACGCUUCACGUUUUACUUACGCACACAUAUACAAGGCAACCUCUAUACGUUGGAACUACACCAAAAUUAUAUUUUUUAUUAAUUUAUAAAAAUAUUAAUUUAUCGAUAUAGUAAUUAAACCAAAAACUCGAUUUGAAACUAUAAAAUUAUAUUAAUUUAUAUAGAUUUUUAGUGUAUAUUAAUUUAUAAAGUAUUAAUUUAAAGAGGUUAUACUGUAUAUACAUGUAUUAUAUAUAUACUAGGUUAAGAUUCGCGUAACAUUAAAUAUAAAUUAUUUUUACGCAUUAUAUUUUUUUUACAUAUUAUAAAAUAAUAAAUAUAUAUUAAAUAUUAAAAAUUCAGUAAUUAUUACGUAUAUUAUUAAAUUAAUGCAAACACAUAAAUAAAUUUUAUUAAUCCAAACAAACACUUUUUCAUUUUAUAUGGUCUAUAAUUAAAUUUAAAUAAUAUUAACAUAGAUAUAUAAUAUAUUUUAAUAUUGAUAUUUAUUAAAAAUUGUUUUUACUCAUAUUGUUUUAUAUGGUUAAUGUGAUAGUUUAAUUUAUUUUAAUAAGUUAAAUUUGAAAAAAAUGUAGAUGAUACACUAAUUUUUAUCAAAUCUUUAUUAUUCAAAAUCAUUAAUUUUCAUAUAUAUAAUUUACCCACAUUAGGUAAUUCCAUAAUUUUUAUUUAUGGAAAUAACGAAGAACAUUAAUAAUUAAUAAAAAAACUUAUUAUAUAUUUAGAUGGAGCAACUUUUUUUCUAAAAAUUUUAAAAAUCAGUGUGGUGAUGACACAUGACUACCUCAAAUGUUAUAAUGUUUCUCUUUUAAUAUAUAAAUGAUAUAUAUAUAUAUUUUUAUUUUUAUUUUUUUGAUCAAAUAUAUAUAUAUAUAUAUAUAUAUGAUGCUUUAUAACAGUGAUCGUACAAUCGUUCUGUGUACAUAUCUAACAGUCCACUACUUUUAAAACCUUUUAAGUUUUAAUCUAGAAAACGACAUAUUAUACAUGGUUUAUUCAGCUGUGCUUGAUUGAUUACUACUAUACGUAAAUAUAUAAUAGUUAAGAGGAAGGAAUGUUUUUGUUUAUCGCAAUUUUGUACGUACAUACACUUGAGGACAAUAGAAUAAAAGUCUGUUCUCAAGGAAUAAUUGAAAAACUGGUCUCUGAAAGACAAGUCAUUUUGUAUGUUCCAAACAUUCUCUACAAACAGGAAAACGACAACUCUUAUGUAAAUUAUCCGCCUCUAAUCAAUACAUAACUUAAAUCCAAAUUAUGCUAUUACUAAUUUAAUUAAUUAAUCAUAAUAUUGGGAUGAAAAUUAGGAGAUUCUAGAGAUAGUGAUGAAGAUUAUGUAUGUAAGCACUUGCAUCACUGGAUAGCAAGACGUGUCAUGGCUUCUUCUUUUUUUGUCACUGAGACGUGUCAUGGCUUGUAUGCUAUACCGUAUAGCUUAGCCAUAUCACCUUUUUAGUUUUAUUAAAGCAAUCCUCAUCUCUCUACCUAUCAAAAAAUAAUUAUGGUAUAUUGGUAUAUACAUAUAUAACAAGUUAAUAUAUAUAUAUAUAUAUAUAUAUAUAAACAUCAUUCAAACUAUGCACAUAAAGAUAUAAACAUGAAUAUACAUUAAUAUAUUUAUAGCCAUCUUGGGUAAAAAGAUAAAACAAUAUAUGAAAAGAAGGAAAAAGGAAUAAUUAUCGUUGAGAAGAAUUCAAGGAACAAAACGAUAUAUGAAUGAGGGAGGCUAUUGAUACAUGAAUAUACGGACUCCUUAUGAUUAAUAAUUAAAUUAAUUGAUUAAUGGUACAUUCUGUCAAACCUCUAGACGAUAAGUAAAACAACACCAUAUGAAACCUUGAUUAGCCUCGCGACAAUUCGCCCCGCGACGACCUUAUUGUAUAUUCUUAUAGUUUAUUUCAUUUGUUUAACCAUUAAAAUUGGAACAUUGUCAAAAAGAACCCAACGUACUAAAUAAUUUUAUAAAUAUAUAUAAUGCAGCUGAUGCUGACACUCACUAACACGUUAAUAUUAUUCACCCUGACUGUUUCUAUUUUUAUAAUGACAAUCAUCUUUCAACUUUGUGUUUUUGUUUUUGUUUUUAUUACAUAAAAUAAUGAAAUGUUGUAUUGUGGGAAUGGGAGUAAUGUCGCGUCGUCUGAUUGUUUUAUACGUGUUCUUAACUUUUAAUUAAUUAAUUAAUUAUAUUGUUUUCAUGAGAUUUGGCUAUUUCUUGUUAUCUGCUUAUGGAGAAAAAAAGAUGGAUACGGGAAAAUUUCCACUACUUUUAAAUAAAAUACUGAAAUAUUAUUUUCACUAAUUAUUUUCGCAAUAUCUUUCUUACUAUUUUUAUUAAUAAAAUUCAGAUCAAAAUAUCCAAUAAAUUUGUCUUCGAGUCCAACGCUUCCUUUCGCUUCAAACCAAUAGUAAAGCCCAUUAAAGCCAUGUAAAUGGAAAACAUAUAAGCACAUUCUUAGAUAUGAACAAAAUGUGUCUUGUGAGGUCCAUAAAAGCCCAUUAGUGACGACAAAAAGACCCCACUGGUGACUAGUUAAAGUAAAGACUCAAGUGGUAGUUUUGAAUUUGAGAAUUAAGCAUCAUAUGUCAUUAAUACUUAGAUUGAAAGGCAGGAAGAGCCGACUAAAUUUAUUAUCUUUGUAAGAACAAUAAAUAAAAAGUCAAAUAAUAAAAAUAAAUUAAAAGGAGAUUAUUUAGGAGUAACAAAGGUUCAAAAAUAUGGGAAGAAGAGAUGAACAUUGAUAAACUACAUGAGCAUUAAUCAAUCGUUUUAUAUUAUAAUUCAUGCCGGUGCAUCUAAGCCAAAGAAACAAAUCUUUGUGUGAUUUGGUUCUUGUUUGUUAAGUAACAAAUGUGCGAUGAAUCUUCUUGAUCGUGCACAUAUUAAGUAGAUGAAUUUACGAAGCACCAACACUAAUUAAAGCUAAAUGACUGUAAUAAAAUAUAACAAAAUUGGAAAUAUGCUCGUCUCUCAAUCUUCUUAUAAGCUAAAUGACUUCCCGAUUCAUAAGCUAUGCAUCAAGUACGAGAAACGUUAACGUGACCCACAUGCCACACUAAAGCUGAUAUAAUAUUUAAAGUUUUAAUUCCGUUUCUUUCACUAUGUGUCUAUGUUUAUGCAUGUGUUAUGUGUAAUGCAAGUAGCAAUGCCAUGCAUAGAUGGCCCCCUCAUGCAUAUAUGAUGGACAUCAAACGGUUCCACGCGUAUAUGUAGUUUCUAAUCCAAAUGAUUUGCCCUAUUUGUAAAGCAUAUGCAUUUUGAUCACUAUAUGUGUAUAUAUGUAGGAGAUGUUAUAUCUUUUUGUGUCAUGGCAUGUGCAGUUCUAUGGCCUUACUCAUGAAGCCCACGUGACUCAAAGCUUGGUUCAAACUCUGGAUGUUACAUAAGCAAUACGUUGAUACAGAAAUUCAUUUAUAUAUUAAAAGAAUUUGGGUCCUAAGUCCUAACCAAACUGAAUAUGAUUCAAAGCCCUUGAUGAGUUAAGAAACUCGACAGGUAACAAGUAUGAGGCCGUCCUUACGCUUUAUAUUAUCGAAUCUAUCACACGUCAUGAAAGUUGAAUCCCCUUAAAACCGUUUGAAGAAAACUCCACUCAAUAUAUAAUUUGUUAAGUUUGCUCAUUUUAACAUUCAUUUUUAAAAUAAUUUUUUUUUGUUGCCCAUUUUAGUUAAUUGCCUGCGCUCAAAGUUCUUGACUAUGAGUCUUUACUGGUGGAACUGAUUUUCAGAUUAUUAAGUUUCAUGACAUUAAAUUAAGUUUAUUUAAAUUAAGUUUAUUUAUUUACUUAGCGACGUUACAUUAGGUUUACACUAUUCUUGGAAUCAACAUUGACGUAUUAAUUUAAAACAGUUCAUAAAUUUUAACAUCAUAACGAUAUACCAUUAAAAAAUUAUAUAUGAUUAGUUUGCAACUAAUUAAGUUGACGUACCGAUUUAAUUCUUAUAAUAUGAUAUUAUCAUUCCAUGUUGCUUAAUAUUAUUUUGCGAGUAAAGACCAUGAUAAACGAUGAAAGUUUCUGGUACAACGACUACAUAUAAAUCUCAGUUUGUAUAGUUAUGGUCGGUCAUAUGCAAUGAAGACUUUUAAGUACAUGACUUAAUCAAUAUUACUCAUCACGGAUUCUCAAAUCCAACCAAAUUCAAGGACCUCAUGUGUAGAUGGCUUAUCUGAUCCUUUGAGUUCACUCAUAGGAUCCAUCUUGGACCUCUUCCGAGCUCCUUCUUGUCUAAGUUUAUCAAUCCUCUGUUUUGUAUAGAUUAACUACAUUUGUAGACUAAUCUUUCAUUUUUAAUGAUAUUCACAUAUUUAGCAAAAAAGAAAAUCCAACCAAAUUCUCAAUCUAUUAUUUCUCAAAGUACAUAUACGUAUAUCGAUUACAUUUUUAAUCGAAAUCCCUUUCUUAUUAUUUGAGGAGCAUUAAAAAUAAAUAACCUUUAGUUCAUGUGUUUAUUACAAGUGUGCCAUUUCUUAUGUGGCAACUCCACAAGCUCUCUCACCUAUUCUAUUUAAAACUCUUUUGUUAACUAGAGUAAUUACACAACAUGCCAUUGAUCAAAACAUUAUAAUUACUUUAGUUUUGUCUACAUUUGUCACAUAUAUACGUUGAUACGUAUUACAUCAAAUCUUAUCAUUUAUUUCUUGCGUUAGUUACCUUAACCGAAGUUCUACGUAUUAUAUCAAAGAUUUUAAAAUUAUGUUAAUUACCUUGACUGAAGUUUUUUCAUUAAUUUGUUUCAAUACAAAAAAAUUACUGACAUACGUAGUGGUCUAAUUUUUUAUUCAAAAAUAAAUAUAGAUGCGAAAAAUUAAUGUGCAAUUAUCAACCAAAGUUUGUUUUUCUGUAAAAUCCUAAAAGUAUUUGAUGAUCAAUACGUGCUCAAGUGAUUGAUUUUCUUAAAAAUGCGAAAAAAUAUUUGUUCUCUUAAAAAUAUAUCAAGAAAAAAAAACUUUUUUUCUUAAAAUAAUGAAACAGAAGAACCAUGCAUAUGACAUAUACUUGCCCCGUUUCAUUAAAUUGUUAGAUGAUCUCCGCCUUGCGAUUGUAGAAACUAAGGUACAAUACGAUUUUCUGGCAUACACAUAUAAAAACUUACCUUAGGUGAUCUAUCGUAAUUAAGAUUUUAACGCCAACUUGCAUAAUGCAAAUAAUGGCGGAGCAAAUUGCCCAUGAUUCAAAUGUUAUUUGCAAGGACGAAAUUGAUUGAUGAUUGGGAAAAAGAAAACUUCUAAUAACUUUGACAUAUUUUUAAAUUACAAAUUUGGUAAACUGAUGGUAAUAAUACGUGAUUUGCAAGGACUUGACUUUUAUAUAUAAGGAACGUAGAUUAAGGUUCAAAUGAUUGUAAUCAAUUAAUAAUCGUGAAUUUUUUUGAAUUUGUUCAAUUGCGAUUGAUAAAAGAAAAUUUGCAUUAACUAUUUACAAUAUUAAAGUAAUUCUCAACUAAGAUUGGAGCGCAAGUUAUGUGUAAUAUUCGAUUUAGUUACGACCAUUAUUUUGAAUCUAUAUGACCACACGGCGAUUUCUUUUUAGUAUAAAUAUACGGCUUCUAUAAUUCAGAAAACUCACCACACUUUUCUUCUCGACUUUGCUCAUAUCAAAACAUUCUCUCAAGCAAUCAAAUGGUUGGUUUUAACUUUGUUUCCGAUUUGAAACCAUUCAAGACAUUGUUUCUUUUAUAUUUUAUUAGUCUAUUGUUUAUGUUUUGUUUUAUUUUAUAUUUAUAAUUUAUUUUAUGCAAAUAAAUAUACAAUUUUUAAACAAAAUUUUUGCAGCUUAAUUUAGAUUGACAUAUUAAAUUUCGUCUAACCCUUACUUUAUAACAUAUAGUAUUUUUUGCUAUGACUUUAAUUUUUAUUAUGUCUACAUAUUAAAAGUGUAAUAUUUUGAAAUCUAUUUAUUCCGCGCAGAGCGCGGGUUAUCACCUAGUAUUUAUUAAUUCAGACAGACAGAUUUUUUUGGGGACUCAACCACCAAGUUAAUGCUCUUCACAUGUAAGGAUCAUUUGCCGUUACGGCCGGUAUAGCCGCGUAUCAUGGUCAAGUUAAAUAAAAUUUCGGUUAGUAAAGUUGUAUUUAUAUAGUUCGUAGUCUUCGUAGUAGUACCAGCAAAGCUCAUGGCAUUUGCGAUUUAUAUAUUAUUUAGUAGUAUAUAUUUUAUAUAUAUUCUAUCCUAUAGUAGACGUAGAACAUGUUUAUUACAUCUUUCUUAGGUUCGGGUUCUAAGUUAAGAUACGGUCUCUUAGCUCUUAAAUAAAAAGCUAAGAAAUGUUUCUUAAAUGAUAAAUAUAAAAGAUGUCUCUUAACUUUUUUUAGUUAAAAAAUAAGAGACCGUAUCUUAUAUUAUGCUAAGAACUUCAAUUUAAGAGACCUGCAAUAAACAUGUCCUUGGCAUCAUAAUCUUUGACCAGUAUCUUAUAUAAUGAUUAGCCUAUGAUACGACACUUUGUCCUACUUUAUUAUCCAUCCUGAAAUAAAUUACACAAAAUAAAGAAAAUGGUUAUAGUGCAUUUUCUCUUUAAAUGAUUGGAGACUUAAAUUUCUAACAUUUCCCAAAUAAUUGAUUUAGACAUUUAGUAAUUAUGAUUGGAAUUGCAUUUAUAUUUUUUAAAUAUCUAAUCAUUGGACCAUGGUAUUUGUUAGCAUCGCUUUAAGAGUCGAUCAUUGUAUAGGUUUAAACAGUUGUAAAAUGAUCCAAUAUAUGUUUUAAAUGGAUUGGAGUACAGAUCGAUUGUUCAUCUUAUUAUUUUGCUAUAUCAAUCUUUUUUUUUCUUUUUACUUAAUCGUAAGGACUUAGCAAAAUAAAAAGUUAAAUUACGGAUUUCGUUAAUCGUAUGUACAUCAAUUGGCACAAUUUUAAAUUUUCUUUAUAUUCUGACAAAAUUUAGACUAUGUUUCUAUAUGUUGUAGAAAAAUAAAAAUACUGCAUCUUGCAAAUUGUUUGGGCUUCCCUUGGUGAUCUAUUUGAAGAAAAAAAAUGAUAAUCUUUGAAUUUUUCACUAUUCACAAGAUUUUUUUUAUUUUAAAAAAAAAGACUUUUUCAUUCCUUCAGACUUGAUUAUAUCAGUUACAUUAUUUAAGAAAAAUUCAUCAUCAUCAAGUUUGAAAAAAUAAUCAUCAAAAACAUUUCUUUUAUUUACGCAAUUCAUUUAUAUUCGUAUGGUAAAUCUUACAAUAUCAUGUCAAUAUCAUUGGCAUUUGAUGACGGAUACAUUUGUAAUCUGAUCCAGAUUCACUAGGAAAAUCUUUAAGGCUCCAUGAACUACUGAUUUAAGUGAUGUCCCUAUAAGAGGGAUCCAAAAUAAGUUAAUACAAAAGGUUAGGAAGUAAGAAAACCAAAUAUGAACUAUGACUAUCACCUUCUGGAAUCCAAGCAAUUAUCUUGAAAAUAUCUCAUAGAGUAAUGCCUAAAUGAGGUAGAUUAAUUUUUUUUUUCUGGCCAAUGGUAAACAGAAUAGUCUUUUUGGUAACACAUAAGUUCGACAACUUAGUUUUAUAGUAUUUUUUGUUUUUAAAAAGGUUUGUAAUAUUUUAACAUAGAUUAGAUUAGGUUAAUUUAAUUAAUAUUCUUGGUCGUUGGUAUUCAAACUUGUGACCUGAAAAGAAAAGUUAAUACAUAAUACAUCACCUAGUGAAUCUAGUUUGGUUUAAUAGAAAAGUUAGAACACUUCCAUUGGUUAGAGUCCAUAAAAUUUUCUUUAAAAAAACAUUAGUAUUAUAAUCAUUUAUUUUUGUUUCAUUUUCUUAAAACUAGAUAAAUCAUUUAUUUUCUUUGGUAGCAUGACAUAUGUCCUUAAAUAUGUAGACAGAUUCUGAAAAGCUCUAAAUUAAGAACUUUUGCCUUUUCUAUCUUAAUUUUAUUAUCUUUUUUUUUUUUAAUAUCGAGAACUCCUCCUGAUACUUGUUGGAGAUUCUCUUAGUUUAAUGACUAUAAAUUUGUGUUCAAGAAAACAAGAUGUGACGUGGUAAGACUGGCUUAUUUCCGUUAAAUUUGAUUCCAUAUGUUUUUUGUAUUGUUUCGAUCCAAAAUAUAUAGAUAUAUGUAAAGUUCUGGAGCAAAGCAAAUAUCAAAAUGUGAUAUUCAUAAACAACAAAGAAAAACAACAAAUAAUAUUUUUGAAAAAGCCAAAUAUCCUAUUCAAUCCGUAAGUUUAUAGAUAUAUAAUAUAUGUUAUGUAUAUUUAUACAUUUUAUAGUGUAAAUUUGGUCAGUUUUGAAGUUGUUUUCAUGUUGUUUUCAGUAUUGAGUUGCAUACCAAUAUGAUUUUUUAUUUGAGUCAAAUGCUUACAUAUGUUUUAUAUUAGACUCGUUUACAUUGAAUUAUUUGAUUUGUUUGAUAAUUUAUGUUAAAAAUGUUAAUUUAUUAAUUUAAUCAUAUUAUAAAAAGUGACAUUGAUUUUUUUUUUUGCUUUGUAAAGAAUAAUAUAUGUUUAUUCAAAAUUUUGACAUAAAAUAUCUAAUAUAAUUAACAAAUAAAAUCGAAUCGCAUGAUCCACAAAUAUUUAGAAAAAAUGAAUAUUCGAGUAAAAUGGAACAGGUCACGGAUACUCGGAUUUUUUCGGACAAAAUCUUAUGCAACGUAACGUACCAAAGUCAAAGGGUUAGUCCAAGACUUUAACAUAAUGAGUUAGGCAUCCUUGAUAUUUGCCUUCACUAACGUCCUUUACUAACGUUAACGAUCAUUACAGACUCAUUGUCGUCAAAGAAGAAAUAUAUAUCACAACUGAUUCAGAAAUUAAUCAAAAUUAAAGAAGCACAUUUUUGAGAAAGGGUAGAAGCACAUACUUUACGAAAUCAAAUAAAUAUUAUAUAUUAAAAGAGUGAAUUAAUUACACAAUACAUGCAAACUUUUGAUUAAAAUUACAACGGGAUACAUAUUUUAUAUAUAUUGCCACUGCAAAUCCACAUUCGGACUGAGUGCAUUUUUAAACACGUAUAACCAACACUUAUAGUAACAAUUUACACCCGAACGAAAAAUUGCAUAAAAACUCACUCAGACAUUUAUGAAUAUUACACUUAUAUAAUGAUAUUAUAUAUAUCUUGGAAAAUGAAAAAUAUUUUUCCAAAAUAUAAAAAAAAUGAAGGAUAUAAAGAAAAGAAAAAACCUUGAAGCUUUUUUGUUUGUCGUCUCAAGCUUAGGGAGAUGAAUAAAUCAUCGCUCAUCAGGUACACGGUCGGACCAUGAAACCCGGAAAACCCAGUUAGAGACUGUCUUCUUCCUCAAACUCUUGAGCCUUUCAUGGCUGCUUCUUGAUAUCAUCCGUCCACAGUCUGUGGACUCUACGAAUGUUUUGAGCCUCUUCAAGGCUAAAUCGAGUGUAUCCUCGCUCAUAUUAGCGAAACAAACCCUAAACCAACCCGGCUCGGUGCAGUGACAGGACGAACCGGGCGAGAUGUUUAGUUUCACGUUGUAGACAAUCUUUUUCCAGAGGUCGAGCUCUGCUUCGAAUGUGUUUGUGUCCAAGAGGUGUCUCAUGUCGACCCAACAGAACAAACCGGCGUUGCUUCUCAGGCAAGUAAUCCCUGCGGACUCAAGACCAGACACUAGGCGUUUCUGUCUGGACUUGAGCCGUUUCUGAUUCUCCUCGAGGUAUUGGCUUGUGAACUUCUUGUCUGAGAGCAAUGCAGAGAGAAGGUACUGAGUCUGAGAAGAGACAAGACCGAAACUCGACAUUUUUGUCGCGGCAGAUACGAUCAUGUCGUCGUUAGAGUAGAUCGCUCCCACGCGGAAACCAGGAAGUCCAAGAUCCUUGGAAAGGCUAUAAACGACGUGGACUCUUUUAGAAACCUCGGUGUUUUCAAGUUUCUUGUCUUUCAAGACAUCCAUCACGCUGAUGAACUGUUCGAACCCGAACAUAGUGCCUGAGUAGAUCUCGUCGCUAAUGAGAUGAAUGUUCUUGGAAGUGAUGAAGUCAACGAGAAGGUUGAGCUCACGUCUGGUCAACGCAGUGCCAAGUGGGUUAGAUGGGUUGGUGACAAGAACUCCUUUGACUUUGAGACCAAGCUUAUGGGCUUGUUGGUAAGCUUGUUGUAGAGCUGAUUCCGUGAUUUGGAAGCCAUUAGAGCUUGAGCAGUGGAUUGGCACAAUCUCAGCUCCAGUUCUCCAUUUAAGAUCUCUAUCAAAUCUGUAAUAUAUCAUCAAAAAGCCAAAACGUAAGCAAAGAGUUUUAAUGAGUUUACUUGGAAACCAAGUAAAGUAGGGUUAUAAUUAUAACUUACCCAGGAUAGUAAGGAGUAGGCAAGAGGAAAGCAUCGCCAGGCUCAGCAAGACAAAACAUGAGAGUCUCGUUCGCAGAGGUCGAACCGGCGGCUAAAACAAUCUUUUUCGGGUCGAACGUGACUCUAUUUCCUCUUAUCUCUUCCAUAAACUCAGCCAUUGCCUAAAGAAACAGAAUAUAUUCAUGAGAAUAGAGAAAAUGAUAUGUUACUUUUGAUGCAAGUAUUAGGUUAAUAUAUUUAUCUAUUUUAAAGAAUACAAAUGAAGCUUACUUUUUUGAAUUCAGGCAUGCCGUGAUAGUCUUGAAAGAGAGCAAGCUCUUUGAAAAUGGAUUGACCUUUCCUCUUGAGACUAGCUGCGUCUGGGUUCUUAGCUAACCACGACUCGAUUAAAUCGAAGCAUAGCUGAUUCUCAGCAAGACCCAUCUGGAUCAUACCAUUAGGGUUCUUGAUCUCAUCGUAAGGAUUCUUCUCGUACUCUUCCCAUCCCAAGAAGUAGGAUGAGUCUUGUCCAUGACCAUUGCUUGUCACUUUUGUCGAAAGCUGUUUCAUCUUUUCUGAUUUUAAGUCAAAGAGAUUAUGGUCGAAAAAAAGAGAGACAAAGAGAUCUUGAUUUAGUGUUUAAGACUUUAAGCUGUUGAAAAGUGAUGAGAUGUGUUUGGAGAAGCAAUGGGUAUGUUGAGAGGUAUAUAUAGAUAAACAAUCUUACGACAUUUUAUCCCAAGAAUAAUAAAGUGUGACAAUAGAAUCAGAAACUAGUUAGACUUUUUUGACCGCCCAGACAUAAACAUAGUUUUAGUAAAUGUUGGUUAAGACAUGUGAGGCAACUUCUUUUUUAUUGUUUUUUUAAUAUGACUCUAAUAAAUCAAUCUGCUAUUAUUUGCAAUUGUUCUUUAAAAAUAAGUCACCCAUCAUUAAUCGUGCAUUCACACAUGACACAUACAACAAUAAAUCUAACUCUAAGUACUGGAUGUUUUCAAAAACUUCCAAUACUAUACAUACAAAAUUGAAUGACACAUUUUGAUAUUAAUGCCCUAAUUUAUCUGUUCGUUUACUAAGAUCAUUAUGACGUAUUAAACUAAUGAAAGUUAAAUGAUUAGCCUUUACGCGUUUCCAGUCACCGCCGGGCCGUCCUUAUAAUGACCAUCCUCUAGGGACUAAACAUGACAAUUAAAAAAGCAAACUCAUAUGCCAUUAAUGGUUUAAUUGUGAAAUUUGAAUUUAUUAUGAUUGUUAUUUAAUAAUCCACUCAUGAAGUCAGCAAGAAAAAAAACCUUUAUGAGGAUGAUAAAAUUUCGUGAGAGUGUGUAUAUCCUAUUUUUUUCCAUUACUAAGGCCAUGAUUAACACCAACUUUUAAUAAGGUUCUUAAAGGGUGGGGUCUGCAUAUAUCUCUACUAAUAAAAGGGAGCUUUUGAGGCUCCAUAGGGCGUCCACAUCAGCGGAAAAAAUUUAUCCCGAGAGAUGACACGUGGCAUAAAAUAUAGUUUUACAUUUUAAUAUUAAUUAUUUUCGAAAAUUGUAAAAAAUAUGUAAACAUACAGCAUUAAAAAAUGGAAAAACUAUAUUAAACAUAUGUAAGAUUACUAUUUUUCACUUAAAAAAAAAGACGGCUUAUCUCCAUAUUAAUGUAACAUUACCGUUUUAUAAAAAAAAACAAAAAACUCUACUAAUAAAAGGGAGUUUUUGAGGCUCCAUAGGGCGUCCACAUCAACGGAAAAAAUUUAUCCCGAAAGAUGACACGUGGCAUAAAAUAUAGUUUUACAUUUUAAUAUUAAUUAUUUUCGAAAAUUGUAAAAAAUAUGUAAACAUACAGCAUUAAAAAUGGAAAAACUACAUUAAACAUAUGUAAGAUUACUAUUUUUCACUUAAAAAAAAGACGGCUUAUCUCCAUAAUGUAACAUUACCGUUUUAUAAAAAAAACAAAAAACAUUAUAUAUAAUUUCGAAAAUAAUAAAUAUAAGUAAAACAUACAACAUAAAAAUAGAAAUACUACAUUAAACAUAAAUAUGUUUGACUAUUUGUCCAAGUUCUUCUAUUAAACAUUGCCGUUUUACAUUAAAAAUAGAAAAAUACGUAAAGAUUUAAACAUCUAUCUUAAAAUAUAAAAUAUAGACAUUAACUAAAUAUAAAGUAUAAAAAAGAGAAAUAUUCAUCUCUACUAAUAAAAGGAAGCUUUUGAGGCUCCAUAGGGCGUCCACAUCACCGGAAAAAAUUUAUUCCGAAAGAUGACACGUGGCAUAAAAUAUAGUUUUACAUUUUAAUAUUAAUUAUUUUCGAAAAUUGUAAAAAAUAUGUAAACAUACAGCAUUAAAAAUAGAAAAACUACAUUAAACAUAUGUAAGAUUACUAUUUUUCACUUAAAAAAAAAGACGGCUUAUCUCCAUAAUGUAACAUUACCGUUUUAUAAAAAAAAAAACAAAAAACAUUAUAUAUAAUUUCGAAAAUAAUAAAUAUAAGUAAAACAUACAACAUAAAAAUGGAAAUACUACAUUAAACAUAAAUAUGUUUGACUAUUUGUCCAAGUUCUUCUAUUAAAUAUUGCCGUUUUACAUUAAAAAUAGAAAAAUACGUAAAGAUUUAAACAUCUAUCUUAAAAUAUAAAAUAUAAACAUUAACUAAAUAUAAAGUAUAAUAAAGAGAAAUACUCAAUAUAUAAAAAAUAAAAAUAAUAAGUAAAUAUUAUAAAUAUAUAAAUAUAUGAAUUAUAUAUACAAUAAUAAGUAAAUGCACAAUUUUUUAAAAAUGGAAAGAGUAUAUUAAAUAUUAAACAUCUAUCUUAAAAUGUAAAAUAUAGAUAUUAAGUAAAUAGAAAAUAUAAGAAAAAGAAAUACACAACUUAAAACAAUGGAAAAAGUAUAUUAAGAUUUAAACAUCUAUCUUAAAAUGUAAAAUAUAGAUAUUACGCAAAUAGAAAGUAUAAGAAAAGGAAAUACACAAUUAAAAAAAAUAGAAAAAGUACAUUAGUAUUUAAACAUCUAUCUUAAAAUGUAAAUCAAUCUUAAAAUAUAAAAUUAUUAGUAAAUAGAAAGUAUAAGAAAUAGAAAUACACAAUAUAAAGAAAAAUAAAUAAUAAGUAAAUAUAUAAUAUAAGUGAAUACCAAAUUUAAAAAAUGGGAAAUUACAUUAAGAUUUAAAAAUAUAUAUUAAAAUUUAAAAUAUAGAUAUUACGUAAAUAGAAAGUAUAACAAAUGGAAAUAUACAAUUUAAAAAAUGGAAAACAUACAUUAAGAUUUAAACAUCUAUCUAAAAAUGUAAAAUAUAGAUAUUAAGUAAAUUAAAAGUACAAGAAAUGGAAAUACAUAUAAAUGAAAAUAAAUAAUAAGUAAAUAAUGUAAAUAUAUAAUAUAUGAAUUAUAUAUGUAAUAAUAAGUAAAUACACGAUUUUUUUAAAAAUGGAAAAAGUUCAUCAAGCAUUAAACAUCUAUAUUAAAAUGUAAAAUAUAUAAUAUAAGUAAAUACACAAUUUAAAAAAUGGAAAAAGUGCAUUAAUAUUUAAAUAUCUAUUUAAAAAUAUAAAAUUUAGAUAUUACGUAAAUAAAAAUAUAAGAAAUGGAAAUAAACAUUUUAAAAAAUGGAAAAAGUACAUUAAGAUUUAAGUAUCUAUCUUAAAAUGUACUUCUAUCUUUAAAUGGUAGUAAAUUAUAUAAAAAUGGAAAUACCACAUUAAACAAAAAAAAAAUGUAUAGUUUUACAUCAAGAAAGUCCCUAUAAAACUCAUUAUUCCAUCCACAUCAACCUCACACUAUUAAGAAAAAUUUCAAAGCACUCGAGCAAAAAAAUGGUUUCACUAUCAACUCUUGCCGUCCCAGAAACCUUUAAUGACAUUGAAUGAGAUUUUUUUAUAACAACAAACUUUUUGUUAGGUGGAUUCAUUGUUGGGAAACCCGCAACUUCCAAAAGCCAAACUUAUUCAUGGGAAUUGAAUUGCUUUUCAUAGACUCAAAUGUAUUCUUACAAAUUUAAAUUAAUCUAAUCUAUAAUUUUAUUGUUAAUAUUCAUACUGACUCUUUCAUGAUCAAACCAUUUCAGUUGAUAACCAUUCAAGCGUUUAUCCCGAAACACUUCAUUCCUCGCCGAAUUAGGUAUUGGUUCAUGUUGGUUUAGUAUUGUUUUUGGUUUACUAACCGGUUUAUGAUGGUCUUAUUGUAAAUAUAAUUUAAGUUGGUUUAGCAUAUAUUAUGUUUAAAAUAACUUAAAUUAAAUAAUAAUAAUAUUAUGCUUAAAAUAUAAUUUUAGAGAGUUUUAAAAUAUAGUUUACAGAACAUUAUAGGUGAUGAAUUUAAUUUAUUAAAUUCGUUUAUUACUUAAAACUAAGUUUUUUAAAAAACAUACUGAGUUAUAAAUAUUAAUGAUGGAUUGGUGAGUAUAACAUGAAGACAAAAAUAUAAAUAUCUGAUUUUCAAAAUAAGAAAUUCAGCUUUUAUUCAGAUACUCAAUAUAUAAUAUCUUAAAUUAUGUUUUAAAAAAUAUACAUAAUUUAUAUAUAUAGAUUAAUUUUCCAAACUUAAACUAUUAUAUUAUAUAUGAAUAAUGUUUUUAAAUAAAAAUAAUUUCUGAUUUAAAAUAAAAAUAAAAACAACAAAUGUUUAUUUUCAAAUAAUGGAUGUAAUUUACAUUAUACUAUCAUUUAACAAGUAUUAGAUACGUUUUGAUAUAUCAUUAUUUUCUAUUCCCAGAAAACAAUAAAUUGUUAAACAUCAAUAUCAUCUAGGUUAAGUAUACGAACAAUAAAAUUUCAAACAUCACAAAAAAUAUUUACAUAACCAUUAUAAUACAAUAAUUUAAUCAAAAAUACAAUUAAAAAAUAUAUUAAAAAGAAUAGUUAUAUACUUAAUAUUUGAAAAUAAAAGAUAUUUUUGCUAAAAUUGUACCUACCUGGCCAAGGAGAUCGACCAUCUUUUUACGGAUCGAUCAAAUGUUGAGCAUGUGGUCGAUCCAAAAAUACUCUGCAGUUUAAUAAAAUCUCUAAACAUUUAUUCCAACACUCAAAAGAUAGUUUUGCUAAAUAUGAUAACUAAAUAGCCAAUAAAAUUACAAAAAAAUAUUUAAAUAGUAAAAAAUAUGUUAAUUUAACGUGUUAAAAUUUAAAAUAAAUUUUAAUUAUAACAUGCAUUUUAACAUUUAUAUAAAUAUAAAUCAUAGCCUAAAUAUAAAUAAUUUAACAAAUUAAAUUAGAAAAAAUAAAAAUCCCGGGCGUAGCCCGGGUUAAUCCCUAGUCUAUACUAUACUAAAAGGGGAUAUAAGCCAUGGAGAGAGUGUCCACAUAGGAUAGAAAAAUCAACCAAUCAGAAAAUCCGAAAUUGCCAUGUCAUCUCAUUUAUUUUUCGUAAAAAAUAAAAAAACAAUGCGAAGGUGAGAAUCGAACCCGGGUUAGUAUGAUAUAUAUAUAUAUAUAUAUAUAUAUAGGACAGUUACCACUAAGUCAUUGAAACUUUCUUGGACACGUAUACAAGAACCACUAAGUAUAUAAUCACAAAUUCUUAUGUACAUUUACAAUAAUAUGAAUUCAACUUUCAAGACUCCGAUACUUUGUUUUGUAAAAAAAAAUAAGUAAGUGACUAAGCUAAUAUAUUCUUAGAAAGUGUGGGAACGUUGACAAAUAUGAAAAAACAUAGAUUUUUGUUUUCGUGACAAAGUUAAGAAUUUUGUAAAAGUAAGUUUAACAUAUAAAUUUUCGUGACAAAUAUGAAAAAACAUAGAUUUUUGUAAAAUUUUGACAAAACAACUCAUAACAUACUUCUCUAAUGUCUUAAUAAAAUAUUAUUUAAGGGUGCAAUAAUUAAAUAUAUUAAUUCAAUAAAUUUUGUAAUUUAUAGACAAAACAAUAACACAACAAAUUUUGAAACAUUUGUUUAACCUAUCAAUUUUUUUUUCAUGAGAAUCCAACUAAACAAGAUAAAAAUAAUAAUUAGAUUUAACAAAUAUUUAAUUACCAUUUUAUUCAAUUUUUAUUAAUUUCAAAUUAUCAUAAUGUAUCUUUUUGAAGUUACAAAUAUGAAAAAGCAUAGAUUUUUGUACAAUUUCACAAAACAACUCAAAACAUAUUUUUAUAAUGUCUUAAUAAAAUAUUAUUUAAGGAUGCAAUAAUUAAAUAUAUUAAUUCAAUAAAUUUUAUAAUUUAUAGACAAAAAAAUACCACAACAAAUUUUGAAACAUUUGUUUAACCAAUCGAUUUUUUUUUCAUGAGAAUCCAACUAAACAAUUAGAUUUACAAAUAUUUAAUUACCAUUUUAUUCAAUUUUGAUUCAUUUUAAAUUGUAAUAAUGUAUAUUUUUGAAGUUACAAAAAAUAAUGUUCUUUCUUUAUUACACUAGCAUUAUAUAUAGAUUCUAUAUACACAAAAUAAAUAUAAUAUAACAACAUAAACUUGCUUUCCCCGAUUCAUAUGAAAACCUUUUAAGUUAUCCACCAAAGCAAAUUAAUUAAAUCAAUGAAAUUGUUAAAAUACAGCAAAUUAAUGUAUAAUUUUAUUUUAAAUUAAAUUAUUUAAAAAGUGUAUUUUCGUUAAAACAAAAUAAUAAAUAAGUAAAACUGAUUUGAUGGUAAUUUUUAUGAUAUAUAUAUAUAUAUCAACUCUGUGAAAGAAAUAGAAGCUUAAUAUGGAAAAAAAUCUUAAAUACAAAAACCUCUAAAAAUUAACAAAAAAACUAAUAAAUUAAACUAUGAUAUCACUUAAAAGCUUCUUUGACCAUAUUAAUAAAAUAUUUAAGCGAUAAUUAGAUAAAUUUGAUUUUUUUUCCAGCAACAAGUUUAUUAUUAAUUAGCAUCAGUUAUUUCAAGAUGUUUAAGAAAUGGUGGACAAAAAAAUAGGAUGGACAUUAAUGAUAUAUGAACUAUGAAUAGUACUUUGUGAAGCAGACUUAGAUAACAUAUCUGCACAUCCAUUUUCAGUCCUUUUUUAUGCCUAAAUUCAAUUUCUUCAGAGUAGUUAUUCCACAAAUAGAUCGUAUGAGAUAUUGUUUUGAUAUGUAGAUUUGUUUUUUCAAUGUUAAGAAGAUUGAUAACUGUAAAAAUGUCUCCUUCGUAUAUGAUAUGUCUAUAACCGAGUCUCCAACAUGAGACAAGUUUGUUUAAAAAGUAAAUAAUUUUAUUUUUCUUAUAUUAUAUAAUCAAUAUAUAUUAUUUACUGAUAAUAAAUAUAUAGUUAUUCAUCUAUCACAAAUAUCUAUGCAAAUAUGUGAAUCAAGUACAACAAUCAAACAACAUAAUGAUUUCCACAAAGAAAAUUUAAAAAAUAUAUUUAUGUUAUGUAGUCAUAUUUUAUAUUUUUUAAAUAAUGUAAUACAGUAUUAUACAUUAUUUUUUUAGAAUUGAGAAAUACAUAUAUCACUUAGACAAAUUAAGCGAUAAUUAAACAAAUUUGAUUUUUAUUUUGUGAGCAAAAAGUUUAUUAUUAAUUAGCAUUACUUAUUUCAAG